rnacentral:lncRNA from 1 species
UUUUUCAAUUUUUUUCUUUUUUUUGGGUUUUUUGUUUUGACUUUGAUGUACCCCUAACUAUUACACAUAGAUAAAAAAGGAAAGAGAGAAAUUUACUACAUAAGACCCUAUGUAGCACGAAAAAACAAAGUAGACCCUGCACUGAAAACAUUAGCAGACACAACUACUGAUAAUCAUAGACUGAAUGGACACCAUUUUAUUUUGUUUUUCCUUUUUUUCAAUUUUUUUUCUUUUAUUGCGGUACCAAACGACUGAAGGAUGAUGGUAAUGAGUGCAUCCACCCUAAUUAGGGCAAAUUUCGAUGCCCUUGAUAAUAAUGCCAGACUUCCAGAUUGUAUCACUGGUUUGAAAAAUCCUAACUUCUGCCGUGGAACUAGCUUCUGCCGUGGAACUUCUUCCGCGGUUGUUGACGAAGUCACCCAAGUUCAAUUCCUUCCAUCCAUCACUACGGGGUUGAGGAUAUAUGCCCGGAUCCUUCGAAUCUUGUGACUUGUCAAUGAACACACUAUAGCCUUCAUUAUCAGUUCCCUUAGCCUUUUCUUCAGUAAAUCUAACCGAUGCAGUUGCUUUUUCAAGUCCCUUUGGCUUGGCAUUAAGUUUGAACACGAGAUAUGUCGAAUAGGAGCUGCCCCUUGGGAGUAGGGCUAUCAACGGGCCGGGUCCGGGCCAGAAUUCAUUAUUCCGGACCCGGCCCGAAUUACUAUACCGGAACCAGAUCCGACCCGUUUACCCGACGGGUCUUUUAUUCUAUGUUCCGGAUCCGGAUUCGGCGGGUCCCGGGUCCGGGUCGGGUCUACCCGCACAAAUUUAGCAAAAUUUAUAAAUUCUAAUAAAAAUGAGAAAAAAAUAUAUUUGUAAACUAAUUUCUAACUAAUGCAAAGAAAAAACCAAAUAAGCAAAGAAAUCAAGUUGACUUUACUCAAAUACAUCACCCUAAUCAAAUUAUAUUGAUAAAUAUAUAUUUUUUAAAUUAUUAAUUCAUUUAUAUCCGGAUCCGGGUCUAAUACGGGUCGGAAUACUAUAUUCCGUAUUCGACCCGUUUUUUUGUUUGACAAAACGGAUCCGGAAAACGGAAUUAAAUCCCUACCCAUACCCGCAAUAAUUUCACGGAUCCGGUUCGGAUCCGGGUCUAGACCCGACCCGUUGACAGGCCUACUUGGGAGGUCCCUAGCAGGCACACUGGUUCGAAUGUCAAACCAGCAAACUUCAACAAGCUCGGCAACCUCGAAGCUGUACAAAGGCAUUAAAAUCAGUUUAGGAUAAUCUUCGAAAGUCAUCAACUAACUAAAGGGAGAAAGUGAGAUAAUAAUAUAAAUGCAAUAGGACUAUAUACAGGACGGGUAUGUGUGAAGUAAGUUCAGGAGGUUUACCCAGAAGGUACAUCAGUGUACCACUUCCAAUAGCGUUUAUCAUUACCGUGAUAAAUCACUAGAUCCCUCGCGUUGAUGGUGUAAGCCUGUGAUGGAAAAUUGAGCAUCGACAAGUUAAUUAAUCUUUAAAGGCAAAAUAACAAAAGACUGAUGAGUAGUUCUCGUAUUGAUGCAAACUAAUAACGACUGUUAUAGCUAGUUAUAUACCAUGUUGAAUAGAUGCAGCUCUGGAGUAGUGUUGGAAGGACCGUACGUUUUGUGGAAUGAGGGAUUGAAGAUUGGGGGAAUGGAUAUUUAUAGGCCUAUCUGAUUAAGUGACGUUUGCAGAUAUUUCCACUCUGAGCUCAUCAGAGAUGUGUAAAAACGUGUUUCGUGCUGGUGUGAAGGUCAGAUGCUGAUGUGAAUGAGGGUGGCCUUUCACAAACCCCAAAUAUGACCAAGUACUAAGCUAUACGCUCCGCCACUUGAAAGUGUAACCAACCAACCUUAGUAUCAACAGUCAUAUAUCUUUAUCAUAGUCAGUUGUAUCAAUAUACACUAUUCUUUUCCUAAUGAAUUCACCUUCCUAUUUGUAGCGCUGAAUACAUUUGGCUAAUUCUCGUUUUGAUAUUUCACAUGAUUAUAAAUUAUGAUUUUAAAUAAUGUGUUUUUCUUGUGUUCUAGUUUUCUUUUUUGUCUAGAUCCUGGAUUUUUCACAUUCGGAAAAAGCCACGAUCUUGAAUCUACCAAAGAUCAAGCAGCUCUAUCAGAGUCCAAUUAUUCUUUGCCGUCUCUUUCUAUAGUCAAUUUUUGUAAAAACCAUAGCGAAUGCUUAUGGAAAAGUCUUCUUUGCAUGUCUAAAGAUUAGAUGAUAAAAUGAAAAUGGUAGAGCUGGUAAAUGGCACAAUUGGCAAUGUAAAAGAAGGAUAGAGCUUGCAUCAUAGGAAAAACAUUGGAUUUGUACCAUGGAAACUGUAGCAUUUCAAUUUUUUUUUCUCGCACACUUGUUCAAAAAAUUUAGCAUAAUUGAAGAAAACAAAAGAUAUAAAGAGGCAAACAAAGAAAAGGAUUGAAGAUUGCCAAGGAAAAGGAAUUAUUUGAAGAGUCUUAACGAUACCAUUAAGGAUAAAUUUAAGGAUACGGAGCAGGUGUAAUUGUGUUUUGUCCAGUUUUAUUUGUAUGGUAUAAAUCAUACAAAAUUUAAUGUAAACUCACAUGACUUUCAUGUAGUUAUUGGUGCCGUUGAUGUAUGUAGAUUAGCUCUAUAUACAAAAUAAAUAUACAAAAUAGAGUCUUAUAACAAAUAUACAAAAUCUUGUAAGAAUUACGAUAACGGGACAAAAUUGAAUAAAGCUUAACUAUACUUGUACCCUUGCAAAAUUUUUAUGUUGUGUGAACGCACUUGGUUGGUUUGACCUGCUAGCAAAUACCUAAAUGAACUCUUGUCCAAGAAAAACCUUUCCGACACCUCUAGUUGUUACUAGAUACUACAUUAUAGACUCAUCACUUGCAGAAAAGUUGGGAGGAAUUUUUUUUUUUGGUCAAGGUCAAGACUUAACAAAAGGCCUUUAUGGGAUAGAAGAAUCAUUUUACGUCCAAAACGGGACACAUAAAAGUCUAUCAAGACCAAGACUUAUAAAAAAGACGUACACUAUACUGUACACUUACAAUACAUAUUUCAAAAAUAAAUUAAUUAGUUAAAUACUUGCUAAAUCAAGCAAUUUUGUCAAGACCAACAUUGUAAACAGCUGUAGACUAGUAGUAAUAUGAACAUCAAACUUAAAAGUUUUGAAAUUUCACAAGAUGCGACAAGUGGAAAUUGUGCAAAGUGACAUGAAAGCAAGAUUCUAGAUCAAAAUAGUUAGUUGUUACUUAAUUUGAAUUCGCAGAUUCAUUCAUAAAAAAAAAAUUUUCACAGGUUGAAAUAGAAAAUCUGAAUGAUAAAAAGACAAUAACAUAAAUUAGCCAAAAUCACUAGCGCAAAUUUCACUGUUCAUUUAAAAAAACUUAAUAUUAUAAUUGCAAAGUUCACCUUGUCUUUCCUAGUUGUUACCACUUUUUUGUUAAAUCAUAUUAAUUUUUUGAACAAACUUUCUACUUCAUUAGCUAAGCACUGCAAUUUAGUUUGGUAAACCCUGCUACUUUUCCAACAAAUGAGAUUCAAAAUUUGGAAACUAAAUUUUAUUUUUUUAUCAUCUCCGAACAAUUUAGUAUUAGUUCGUACAAAUUUUGGUCAAUUUCGGAGAAUUGUCAUAAAUUGAUAGAAAUUCAAACAGGCAUUUCUAAGAAGUAAUGUUACAAUUUCUUUUAAAAUAGGAUUAUAUAUCAUUUGGUAGCUAACGUGAUGUCCCGUUGACAUUCGAUGCACUUCUACGGCCUUUCUUAGGUAUUGCAAUUAAUUAGGGUUGGCAGUUGAAACCUAAAAGAGCCUAAUCAACAAGGUUGAAAACAAACAAUUCAUUAAAAUGAGAAUAAAAAGCUCCAAACCACACAACGCGCAGAUGUUGCUUUGGAGUUUUGGAGGGACUAUUUCAUUGAAAGAGGAUUGAAGAUUGAGGAAAUGGAUAAUUAAGUGGCCUUUGUGGAUAUUUCCACAGUGGCCUCAUCAUGGACAUCAAAAACGUGUUCCACGUUGGUCCUUCUCAUUCUUUUACACGUACUAAGAUAAACGUAAUCCUUGGCAAAAUUCACACCGCCAUUGGUUUAUCCUUCGAGUUGAAGGGCACAAAAUGUACCAAUCAUAGUAGUAGCUCCGACAAUGACAUUAGGUAACAUCAAUUGCUCAAUAUCCGUGAAUGCAAUGUUAAGUUAAAACUUAGAUUUUAGUUAUUUUUUUUGUCAAAUAAAACUUAGAGUUUAGUUAUGACUACACUGAACUGCUAAACCAUCAUCAGGUCACAACGAUGCCACUCCAAUUAUACCCAAAAGAUCAUCAUGGUAACUUGCAAUCAAUUUGAAUCACACACCAUUCUCGAUAUAACUAAAUCAUGGAAUAUUUUGAACCAUAAUUCACACUUCUAGAUCCUAAACAUUGAUAAAUUACAAGUAUGAUAGGCUUAUUUGUUACCUACACCUGCGACUAUUUCUAGGAGAAUAAGAAAUUCAUAGGCCCAUUGAUCAAGGAAGUUCGUUUAAAUAUAUCACCAUGAAUCUUGUGAAAUAACAUAUUUCCAGUAUACACAAUCCGACUAGUUAGUUGAAUAUAUCAAAUAUUAAUUGAUAUGAAUCAAUCAUCAUAAAUGCCAAACAAUCAUCUGAAGACACCAAUCAAUCAUGUCAGUUACCUUAUGUCCAAAAAGAUUGAAUCAAUAGUUAGUUAUAUUUUCCAUAAAAAAAAAAACAAGCCUUAUUGUCAGUUAUGUUUUCCACGAGUAUCUUGUCAGGAAAACAAACCAUAAAUGGAGGAAUCUUGUAGACCUCAGAAGAAUGUUAGAGACGAGGUUUUUCGUUUGCACUAAAUUUUAAAAAUCUAAAUAUUCUAUUUUUUGCAAGUAUACAGAUUGUUUAUCAAGAAUAGGACAUAUUAGGUAUCGAUCUCACUGGCAAGAUUGUCAAUUACUGAUGAUUUUCAAACUUCUUUAUUAUUUAAGUUAUCACAAAUACAAGAAAAUAAAUCUACUUUACAAACAUGAAAUAAAAGGAGUAAAAAUAGCAAUAGAAAGCUUCUAGGUCUAUGGCAUUCCUAACUAGGGUGAUGAUAUCUCUAGAACUUACUCCUUCGAAGACUCCUCAAGAGGGGUUAAAUGUGAAUCAUUCAUGCUCAUCUCUUGAUGUUCAACCUUAGUUUCAAAGAUACAAUCAUUUAAAAUGGAUAUUUCGUCAUUGGAACACAAAUUAGAUUCAUCAUUUUGAUCAAAAUGCAAUCCACUUUCACAUACAACAUUCCCACCAUUCACAAUAGGAUCAACUUAUAUAUUAUUAGAAGAUAUAACUUCACACAAGGCAUGCAAUUGGUCUUAAAUUCUACCAAAUUGAGAAGCUAAUUCGUCUAAUAUAUUCUCAACCCUAUCAAAAUGGUCAGAAGUCGUAUUAGCUAACCUUUCAAUUGCUAAUUUCCAAGACAAAAGUGCAUUAACUAACCUUUCAAUUGCUAACUUCCAAAAUGGCUUUGAUUCAAGUUGGACAAAUUCGAAUUGGUAAUUAUAAAAAUACAGAGGAGCAUUAUAUCCACAUUGAUUAUCUCAACUAUAAACAUAAGAAUUAUCCCAAUUAGGAUCAUAUUGAUCAAAACAAGGAUUGAAAGGCUCAAAUUCAUCAUAAUAAUCUACAUUUUGUGCGUGUCUACAUGUAUGAGUAGCAUGCUAAUCGCCACACAAGUUACAAAUCACAUGAUUAGAAUUAAAAAUAUUAACAUUUUUCUUUCUUUUUUUUCUUUUUUUUAUUUGGCUAACCCCAUGCAUGGGGAGGGACGCCACCCCUGAGUAUUAUUAAUAAAAACCACAAAAGACACAUACAAUGCCAAUCAAUCGCGCACAACCCUACUGCUUAUUACAGGAAUUCCUGCUCUAUCCAAACCCAUCGCCCCCCUAGCGGGUCUUGGUAACUCCGAAUGGGAGGUAUACAUGCCACUCAACAACCCUUGCGUCCCCACCUUAGACAAGAUGUGACGCCCCAAAAGAAUGAGUGCGAGAGCCCGAAAAUUUUCUAAGCUUCUAGGGUUUAUUUUAUUCAUCCCCCGCCUUUUCUACAUUUUCUUUAUUAGAAAAUUCCCCAGAUAAUUUUAUUGAGAAAAUAUAGUUUUUAGAUGAUUUUUCUAGUAUCGGAUAGUUUUUGAGGAAUUAAGAACGUAUAUCGGAUGUGGGACCCGCUAGCGCGGAAAGUUCGGAAAAAUUCGGCCACUUAGGUUAAGUUUUGGAUACUGGGUUUAAAUUACCGGGUGUUAUGGGAUAAUUAGAGGUUACCUUAAGUGGAUUAUAGUUGGAGAGACAAAAGGAUAACCAUGAACAAAAAGGGUGCUAGGUGGCACUUUUCUAUUGGUCAUGGACUUUGACCAUUUAACUUUACCUUUACCAUAUAACAAAAUUGACCCAAAAAUCUCUUCUUAUUUCUUUCUUGUUGGCCGACCUUCUCACAAGGAGAAAAGAAAAUAAACUCUCCACCAUCUUACCUCUAAUCAUGCCCAAUCUCUCAAUUAAACCGUUUAAUCUUCAAAUUACUCCAUAAAACCUCUUAGUUUAGUGAAGUUAAGCUUGGUUGUGAAGUUGUUUGGAAGCUUAAGGUGCCAAGUGGUCUCUUUUCUUUGGUUACUAAGGUGAGUAGUGAAGAAACCCCUCUCCUCCACCUUAUGAAGUUAAAUUUGUGAUUUGUGGAAGUUGAAGUGAUGAUUUUUGGUAUUACAUCUUGAUUUUUGGUUGAAUUGGUGAACUUUUAUAAUUUUUGGUGAAUUUUCUGUUAUCAUAUGAUUGUUGCUAUGUGGCCAUGUAUGAUGAUUGGAAAUGAUAUGGAUUGAAGAUAGAAGGUGGAAAAAGUGGUUAAUUGCAAGAAAUUUCUGUUUUGGAAGAAAAUUGGAAAAACUAGGGUUUCAUUAAUGUACAUUCUGCCCGGCACAGUACCUCAUGGUUAGAGGCCGAAUUAGCUUGGGGUCAAAACAUGAAAGUUGUAGGGAAUGACAUUUUAGAGAUGCCUACAAAAUUUCAGGCCAAUCGGAGUAGUGUAACUUGUGAAAAGUCCGAAAUACCUCUGCUGCCCUGGUUUCAUCCGAACUUGGGAACUGCUUCUGUAAUUGGUUAUUUUGGCUUAAAAUACUUCCGAAUUAGUUGUUGAGGUCUUCUGAAUAAAUGUAGCCUGAUGUCUUAGCUUUCGGAUGGCUUUGGAAUCACCUGAUUUGGACUUAGGUAGCCUGACUUAUGAUGUUUGAACCAGAAUAUGGUUUGUGAACCUGUUUUUGCGGUUCUGGUUUGGUAUCUUGCAUUUUUGACCUAGUUUCACUAAGAACUGGACUGAGUAACCUUCUACAACUUUUUAGCCCUGUCUCUUAGCUUCGAAACGGUGUAUCUUACACCUCCAUCCGAUAAUCGUAGUUCCAUUGGUACCAAAACCGCAUAAUGACGUCAAAAACUAUUUUUCUGGAUUGAAGCUUAAUUCCAUUUCCGGAAUUUUCUGGUUUACUCUAGUGUUUAUAUAUUCUAGUGAAACCUCAUUUUGGUGGUAUGUGGACUUUGUUAUGACUUGUAAUCGAGUCUUAUUAUGCUUACUUGAAUGUUUUAGGACGUGACGGCGGUCCAAGACGCUCAUUGAGCGGAAGUUGAUGAAAUCUCAUUUGCUUGCUUGGUGAGUGUUCUUGUUUGUUAUGUUUCUUGACUAUAUGACUUAUAUGAACGAUUGAUGGCAUGUUAAAUGUUUUCAAUGAUUGUUAAAACGAGUUUUCUAGGCGAGUGUGUACUUUAUCGCACUGAGCCUAAAUGAUUGUGAAAUUUUAAUGAUUGAACGAUUGAAAUGUUACUUGCGCAUGAAUGUAAGCCUUUUGGGCUGAACUGGCCAUUGCCCCUUGUUACCGGUCGUCUCGAGCCAGAAGCGGACUCGGUCGGGCGAUUAGGGACCUGGGUGAACGUUCCGAUAUACUCGAGUAUUACCUUGUAGGUUGGUGGAGCCUGGCCAAAAGCCAGGGACGGGAUGAAUGAAAUGAAUGAACGAAUGAAUGAACGAGGGGUUUUAUUUAUACAAAAUGCAUUUUCAAAUGAUUGAAGGUUGGGGAACGAAAGGAGAAUGAAUGCACGAACGAAUGAACGAAUGGCUCCUUGUGAGCCCGUAUCCUUUUAAUGAAUGUGUUUAUCGCUUUCUCUUAUAAUUGUAUAUGGAAUUAUUGGUUAUCUAUAACGAAUGCAAGGAACUGCUUGUUUGCCUAUGUGUUCGGAACCUCAUUGAGCUUUUAGUUCACCCCUUUAGUUUUGUUUUCCUUAACAGGGGAAGACGAGCAAGGACGAGAGCCUGUAUAGACUAGCUGGGCCUAGCCCUUGGUUUUCUUUUGAAAUGGUUCUCGCCCUAGUGCUUGGGACGGGCUGGUUGUUUGGUGAAUUGAGAACCUCUGUACAUAUGACGGUUGUACUUCCUUUUGAGUUAUCUAUGUAUCUAAGUGUUGUUUUAAGUUGGACCGUUAUUAUGUUAUUCUUAUAGUUCCGAUGGUUGCUUGAAGUGACUGACUGAGUCCCGGCGAGAGCUGGGCAGGCGGUCCGCCCCUCUGGUUCGCCUUAGGGGGAGGUGGGGCUGUCACACAAGAUGUUCGCCACCUAGUUUGCUUCUCGAAAACAAUGACCCACAGUCCAAUCUGAACCCAACAUUGACUAGAUUGCCUCUACAUCAGAGUGAAUCAGCCAUGGACAUCUCGACUUGCCAGGGAGAACAUUUACUAACAGUAGAGAGUCCACCUCCACCUGUACCCUGGAGACACCCCGUAACAGGCACUGCUGCACCCCAUAUAGCAACGACUUGGUUUCAGCUUGCAAACUUGUCAUCUCCCCGAGGGGAAUGGAAAAACCAAAUAGCAAAUCACCAGAGGAGUCCCGAAGGACACCGCCCCCUCCACUAGGCCCUGGGUUACCUAAUAAACAUCCAUCCGUAUUUAACUUGCAGAUCCCCUGAAACGGCAGUUCCCAACAGACCACCCUAUGGGAGUAUCGAGGCCUCCAUCCAUACAUACUAGAGUACUAGGAGGUAUAAAACGCGCUCUGCGCGGUAGAGAUAAAAACUUGUCUGCCCACUUUAUGAUUAAUAGCUGGAAAUGCUAAAUGAGAAAAAUGCUUAUUCAUUUAAAGCUCAAGAUUAAUAACUGGAAAUUACAAAUGAACAAAAUGCCUAUAUAUUUAGGACCAUAUUUAUUUUGCAUGUAUUUGACAACCAACCCUUUGCAUUUUUUUUUAAAUUUCCUUCUAUUUUGGUCUUAUAAUGAAGUGGUUUUGGAGUCGUACAAACUUUUCCAGCUAGGAGUUGGAGGGUACCCUUUGCGCUCUACCGGAUGUUUCUUUGGAAGGCCUUUACCGUGUGCGGCGGCCUUUGCUGCUUUGCUAAUUUUAAGGUCACUUCUAUUUUUGCCUAGAGAAAAUAAUUCUUUUGAUUGCUAGGGUGGCUAAUUGAACCUUUUCUCAAAUUGCUUAUUUGAUGAAAUUGGCAUUAUUAAAUUGUUUAGCAAAUACAGAAAGAAAAAAAAACAUAGCAGGGAAUCUCACGGGCCUCAAAACAAUCCCAGACAAUGUCUAUAUUUUUAGACUGCGCACUCUUAAGCAUUUUCUGAAUAAGAGUUUCAAAUUCUAUCCAUAUCCUUGGAUGUUUUUUCCUUGGAGAUCAAUGAAUUAAUGCUUAUCAACCAACCAUUGAAUUCACAAUUUGGUAUACGCAAAUUCAAGCUUGGAUCGCACUAUUUAAUGCAAUAUUAAGCAAGAAAAUGUUGGCACCAUCUUCUACCAAAAACAAAUUCAAAAAAAAUUCAAGAAUAUCAGUUGAAGAAAAGGAGGUUAACCAUCCAUCAGAAAUGCCUAAUAAAAAAUGGCACCUUUCAAAAAAUCAACAUUCUAGCUUGCUAUGACUUAGCAAACAAUCCGUGAUUUAAAGUCCAGAAGGGAAAAGUACCAAGAAAAAACGAUAGCACAGUGACCAGUAACACAACAGCCUAACACAAAUUAACUAAGGAACCAUGAAUAGACAUAGAAACAGAUCUCACAAUUAUCAGUGCUUCAAUCUGAAUCUAGUACCAAUAAUAAUUGGAUUGGACUCAACAGACCCCAUAGCAUCUACUUUGGUUCAUCCCACUUCAGUCUCAAAAAUCACGGAACAAUGUCAGCAGAACAGGCUUCUUACUAUAGCAACAAACGUAAACAAGAAGGUGUUAGCAAUCUCAAAAUAUUACAGGAGCCAACAAAAGCAACACAGGGAAAUCACCUUUGAUCAACAGCAUAAUCUCUAGCAAUAACAGGAACACCAUCUAAAAGCGCCUUUCUCACUGGUAAAGCAUAUAAAACAACUCCCAUCAUAUCUAUUACAAAUCAGUCAACCAAAGACGAGAUAGUAUGUCACAAUAUCAGCUCAGAAAUAAAAUGACUACUCGUAUUAAAAAAGGGAAAAGAAAGGAAACCGGUGACUCAAUUAUAGAGGCACGACCAUCAACUAAAUGUUGGAAAAGAUGUAAAAGGGCCAAUAUCAAGAUUAGGCAGAAGGAUCAGUUCAUCAAGCUUACUAAAACAUACUAAUUACAAAAUAAAAGCAACCAAAGCAGAAGGAUUAAAGUGCAAAAAAAAAACUACUUUUAGUUAUAGAAUAAAAGUGCAAAAUUAAAGCUGAAGGUAUUCAGAAGUCAGAACCAGUGCUCGAUGAGCGAACUAAAAUUUGCAUACUGUUAGGCUGUUCCAUACUUCACUUCUAUGACAGCUUAUCAUGUAAGCAAUAAAAUUAAACUUAUGUACAAGAUUAAGGCACUCAGAACCAGUACUGUGAUUGAACUAAAAUGUGGCAUGACAGAUUAUAAAACUCAAAACUUCUGACUAUAAUUUUCUUCUUGUUUAAGGUUGUUAUAAUUAAAAGGUUCAAUCAAUAACCCAGUCCAUCUAUAGAAUGCGGUUUACUCAUGCACAUGCCAAGCAAAACUCGCACCGUCAGAGAAGAAUUCAUAAAAAAAUUAGUCCAAAAAUUAAACAUUCUAUUGGUAACCCUUUCCAUCUACAGAAUGUCAUUCAAUCAUACAUUAGAAAUAUGCAAGCAAAACUCAAACCUUCAGAGAAGAGAAAUUCAUAAUCCAAAAAAUUAAACUAUAAUACCUUCAUGUAUUAUGUAUUGCAGGUUGCUACCUCUAGCUUUAUUUUCAUUGUCUUAGUUGCAAAGCUUAGAAUCAAGUAGCUAUAAGCUAGGCAGCUAGCCGGCCAUUUAAAAGUAUCUACCAAAGACAUGCAUAAAGUCAUUUCACUAUAAUACACCAGGAAAGAAAGAAGUUCAGCAUUUUAAAACAGUUAUAAAAUAAAGUCAUGAUCACAAAAGACUUACUGGUUUCACUUCCCAUUCCAAGCAACGUGCACAGCCAAAAAUUUGAUGACAACCGGUACAAUAUACAAGAGUGCAGCCUAGCUAAACAACCAUUAAAAGGAUCAAAGAAAUGAGAAGUAUGGACCCUCCUCACUGGAACAAAUUUACACUUCUCAAAUGUAUCUAUCUACUUUCAAAGAUAAGGACAUGCAUAAAACACCUACCUGUGCAGCUUGAAACCAGUUCAUGACGAUUAUUGUCAGGAUCAAACCAACAGAGUAUCCUACAAAAGCACUCUUGCAAUAUUGGUUCUGCUACCCCUGAAAAACAUCAAAGUGCAAUGCCAGUGCCACAAAAAGCCCUGAGAUAUAUAAAUUACAGAUGCAGAUUUUACUUAGCACGCUUCCGAGUAUUUCUUCAUACAAUUUAAAAUCAUGUACAUAUCACAAGGGAUCACCAACAAACCAAAUAAGAAGCUUAGAGAUGAAAACAAAAAGCUUCACAAUUAUCUUAGAUUAUAAAAAAUGCAAUGCUGUAGAGAGGGUUGGAUUCAAAAUGACGAAUCUCAUCACCAGAUACAUGUGCUACUUAUAAGCAGUCGAGGAUGAAAAACAGUCAAACAUCAAAUUCAAAAACUCAGCCAUGGACUCCCAACAGAGAAGCCAAAAUGAGGAUGGCAAACUGACAACAACUAUUAGAACAAUUAGAAUAUAAGCUAUGCCAAGAAAUACUGUAUCCCUAAGACCCAGCAUUGAAAAUGGACGUGCAGAGUCAGCCGUUGCGAACAAAAGCUGUAGAAAGUAUAUAUUGUUACUCUUGGUGGCAAACUAUGACAGACAGAAUCCAAGAACAAGAAUUUUUAAAAGAUAUACAGAACACAAGAUGACACUUUUCUUGAUAGGAGCAUCAAAAGAUUUAGCAACACUAACCAUUUAUGGGGUAAAAAAGACCCAGAAAAUGUCAUAUACAAAAAGUUCAACCUGCAAAUUUAAAACAUGUAAAUUGCAUCAUAGUAAACGAAUGGUAGGAUAGUGCAAUCUAGGAGAUGCAUCAAUUAGAGCGGGAAUACUGAUAAAACCGCAUAAAUAUGUCCAUUUGUAUCUAUCAAAGCAUACUGACAACGCGUUGAUACACAAUAAUAAUUUUUUUGGCAUACACAGCCUUGGUCGUCACCUUUCAAUUUAUCUUAUCGCAUUAUCUUAAGCCAUUUCUUUUACUUUUUUGUUUCUAAUAUGGUAUAGAAUAUUCAUUAAAAUAGGAAAAUAAAUUAUAGGAGACACGAUAAACCAGCUAAUAGGGCUUAAAUGAAAUAUGGUGGGCUUGAUCGACCCAGUAAAGAAUAGUCUAUAGGAUGAAAAAGAAAGACUACACAAAAAAAUCAUAAAAAGCUUCCAUCAGAAAACACAUGCAAAUAUAUAAAAAUACUGUAAAUAUACCAAAAUGGGCAAAAAACAGAAGUCAGAAUGACCUAUCCAAAUAUAAUAAAGAGAAGAGAAGAUGAAUAUGUCAAAAGCCUAGAAAUAAUUGAACAAUCUUGAGAUCUGGUAAUGUAACUAACCAGAAGAAUCACGCCGAUUGCUAGGGAUUAAUGGAAAUCUUGGAUUCGGGAGUUGAGAGGCGAGUAGCUAAAAAUGGAGAAAAAGACAUAAAAGAAGAAAAGAAAGCGAAAACAUCAAAAGUUUUGAAGUGGUGGCCUAGGAGAAGCAAAUGAUCAAGUUAUUUGUUCCGUGGAGAGAAGAAUAGAAAGCAGAGGAAGCAGAGGCGGCUGCGGAGAGAAUAGGAAGCAGAGAGGAAACCCUAAGUUGAAAAGCCAGGAGAGGAAAAACAGGAGAGAAGAAGCGGCGGCGGAGAGGUUUUGGAAAGGAAAACCAGGAGAGAAAUGUGUUUUGUGUAGAUAACCCUAAGCCGACAACCCGCGCAUCGCGCGAAAAAAAAAACAAAAUACUGAAGACAUGGUCGAUGCUGGAGCACUGAGGUCUGAGAAGAACCAAUUUAGAUAACUCACGUGAGCAGCACGUGAUGACGACGAAAAGUGAACAGUAACCCUCUUUGGUGCGUUGUAUGUUAUGUUGAAAAAGCAUGCCAGGAAACAAACCCAUCCGUGGAAUGUUGGUAACAUCACUUUGUUUCCUAAAAGGCUUGUUGGUAACCUACUAGCUGAAAUAAGGACUUCAAGCUAAUAGCCAUCACCAUUCUUGACAAUGAUAAUUAAUGGGUAUAAAUAAAGAUAUUAAACAUAAAUCAUGUUUAAAGAUGCAUCAUACCACAGAAACAAUCUUGCAUUCUCAGAAGUUAUCAGGCUUCCCAUUUUCAGAAUCUCUAAAUAGUAUGAAGUAGAACAGCAAAAAGGCAAGCUCUGAAUUAACAAUUCAAUAGCUCAGAAACUACAUUUGCAGCACCUAUCAUAACUUAAAACUGAAAACAACCCAACCUUUUGGAGGAAUAGCACUUCAUCAUUCUUGAAAGAUCUCAUAUUAGAAAAACUGCACUUAAAGAGGUGUCCUGGGCUAGCAACGUAAGGGAAAGUGUUAAGAAGAAAGGGCUGUGAUGCUUCCCGAAGGAAAGUAAAUCUUGUUUACAAACCCAGUUGAAGGAGAUUCAUAUGUAUGAGCAUCUUGCAAUUCUGCCAUUAUCCACCAUACGUCUCCAGCUCCAUGAUAAGGACCUGCAACAAGAACAAUCAUUGUUCCAGGAAGUAAAAUGACAUUAUAUCAGAAAAAAAAGGAAGAGUGAACAGAAAUAAUUGUAAGCAAUCAACUAAAGAACGUUGUCCUCAUUGAGAAAUAUCAACGAACAACUAUGUUGCAUAGUCCCUCAAAUUGGGAUGUUACAAUAACAAAAAAACGAAAAGAAAUUUGAAUUGCAUUGAACAUCAAAACAAUCUAGACUAAGCUAGCUGAUGAACAGUGAACUGAACAACAACAAUCCGAUUACUCAAAAAGGGUUCAAAUUUUACUAAAAUUAGUAUACUUGUGUAGUCAAUUCGCACAUGAAUUGCACGAACCAAUACAAACUUAUUAAAAAAAACCUAGAAAUAAAAAUGUGACAGCCCCACCUCUCCCUAAGGCGAACCAAAGGGUUUAGCGGACCGCCUGCCUAACUCUCGCCAGGACUACGGAGUCGAAUCACACAAAUCCUAUAUUACGCGCGAUAGGACCCAAAAACAAAUUUGAACAAUUGAAGACCGCCAAGCUUCGAAAUAACUUCCCAAAAUCACAUGAGGAAAACACUUUCAUAUAUACAUGUUGAUAGGUUUACAAAUCAAAUGGAACCCUUGAAAUGAAAUACAUUUAGAGUUUGCCCACUCUCGAGGAGCUAUACAAAAGAACCAAAGAGUAUCUAACUAGCUCAACUCGCGUCUCAAAAUCAUGAUUUCCAAAAGGGGUUCCUGUAAGGAAAACAAAGAUAACGAGGAGGGGGUGAGCUUACGCUCAAUGAGGUAUCAAACAUGUAGCAGUAAAAUCAUGGCAUUUCACGUUAUACAAAUCAGGUACACAUGCCCGCUAUAAAGUAAAACAAUUAAACACAAGGACUCAAAUAGGAAGGAUACAAGUGGCUCUCAGGAGCCAGUUUUCCAGUGCAAUACUUGAUCCAAGCCGGUUGACUCUCCGUCAACAUAUAUAAAACCAACGCGUCCGUAGACCCCACUUUACGCCAAAUUCCAUCCACCAAACACCCCUUAUCGGGCCCGAACACCUCAACGGAAACAAAAAUAGUAAUACUCGAGUAUACCGGAAUCAAGAGUCUCAAUACCCAAAGAUUCCUAGAAUCAGACUACCGUGGUUCGUUAUCUAAUCGAUCAGGCCCUUGCCGGCUCGACUCGAGUAACUAGCCACAGGUUAUGAGCUCAAAGGUCACAGAAAGGUCGUUGGAUACAAUCCUCCAAACGACGUCCGAACAGACUCAGAUACAGAUAUCAGAUUCAAGUAUACACAAUAACUAGGUAUACGGACAGACAAAAGAACGAGUGUGAUAAAGUACACCCUCGUCUCAAACGGAAUAAAUAGAUAAUACAAUCAAUCAAAUCAUAGAGUGCAUGUACGGAAACCAAGUUAAGCAACAAAUAAGAGGAGUGGUACACUCACCGGUUCAAGUACAGAUACUUCAAAAAGUUUUCACUUCACUCUGGCUUCAAUCGCCAAGAAACCCUAAAAUCAUUAAAGUAAAACAAUUAAAGAUUUCACAUCCAGAAUCGAGUAAACAGAAUGCACAAGUGAGGCUCGACUACAGGUCGUACGCCUUUCCAGGUUAGGUACUAGUACAAAAGAAUAAAAUAUGACUUUUGAGCAAAAAAACGAUAACAGUUGGUCCUAGGGUUACAAACAACUCCCAAAAUCCAUCAUUUUCCCUAAGACUAACUCAACUUGAAAGAAUCGCGUAGCCCUAAAAUUUUGGGCAGCAUGCCCUCUGUAUUUACCUAUUUUCCAGUCAUUUAUGGCUUCAUUGUUUUCCUCAAUCAAUCCCAAAAUCAGACACACACCACCACCAAAAUAAGCCCGAUAGAACGUAUAAGUGUAUAGCCAAGCGAGGGACAUGUGCGGAAAUGAAGUUUACGUUCAAAAACAAAAGACAGUUUUGAUGUUAUUAAGCGGCGGAAAGGUCGUAACUAGAGCUACACUUAUCAGAUUGGGGUGCAAGUUAUACCCUUUCGAAGCUAAGACAAAGAGUUAAAACUUUGAUGAAGAACACUCAGUCCAAUUUGUAGUGUAUCUAAGUCAAAAUUGCCAUUCACAGAACCAGAAUCUCACAUUCGGGCUGGUUAACCGCUUUAUGCGUAGACGAAAAUAACUCAGGCUACCGAAGUUGAAACGAGGUGAUUCUAGAGGCGUUGGAAAGAUAAGACAUAUACCUACAUUUCUUAUGAAGACCUCCAAGGCCAAAUCAUGCAUUUUCAUGGUCAAAAAAGGAAAACUCUACGAAAAUAGAAAUCUGGGGGCAAAACAGGUUUCAUGGACAGUCAAGGGUAUUUCGGUCAUUUCCCAUGCUACAGAGAUUGGAUUGAGCUGAAAAUUUGCAGGAAAAUAUUUUAUACCCUUGGCUACAACUUUCAUGUUUUGGCCAAAAUCUAAUUCGGUAAGGAUCAGGGUGAAAGGUCACGGUCAAAUUAGGUAAAAAGGCAACCCUGUUCACUGAACCCCUACCUAGACCAGUCUGGGUAUUUCCGACUUUUCACAAGCUACCGUGCUCCGAUAUGGGCUGAAAUUUUACAAAAAACUAUAAAACAUCAUUCUCUACAACUUUUAUGUUUUAACUUAAGGCUAAUUCGGCCUCUAACUAGGUGUAAUAGUACCGGGCAGAAUGAAGGAGAUGAAACCCUAACUUUCCAAAUUUCCUUCCAAAACAGAAAUUUUCUGCAAUUAACUACACUUUCCGCCUUCUAGCUUCCUUCAAUAUCAUUUCCAACCAUCACACAUGGCCACACAACAUUAAUCAUAUGAAAAUAGAAAAAUCAUGAAUAAAUAGAAAAUGUCAUCAAUCUCAACCAAAAUCAUGAAAUAACACCAAAUAUCAUCCCUUAGGCUACCACAAGUCAUGAAUUAAAUAUCAUUAGAUGGAGGAGAGGGGUUCCUUCACUACUCACCUUAGCAAUACAAGAGAGGGAGCAACUAAUCACCUUAGCCUUCCAAACAACUCCACUAAACACCUCACAAUCACUAAGUGAAGGGGUUUUAUGAAACAAAUGCAAGAUCAAAUGGUUGUUUUGGUAGAUUUGAGCAAGAGUAGAGUUAGGAAUUUGGAGAGUUUUCUUUUCUUUCUUCCUUGGAGAGAGCCGGCUUCAAGCUUGGAAAUUUGAGGGAUUUUUGGGUCAAAUUUUGAUUUAUUUAGUAAAAGAGUGAAUAGUGGUCAAAAAGUAAAACUUUCUCUCCAAGUGACACUUGUCACUUCAUUAAAUGCAUAGCUAUCUCUUUGUUCCUCUCACACCAAUCCAUUUAGUAACCUCUACUUAUCUCAUAACACCCGGUAAAAUAAACCCAAUAUCCAAAACUUAACCCAAUUGAUCGAAUUUUUCCGAACUUUCCGCACUAGCGGGUCCCACGUCCGGUAUACGCUCUUAAUUUCUCAAAAAUUAUCCGAUACUAGAAAGAUCCUCUAAAAACUAUAUUUACUCAUAAAACUUAUCUAGAAAAUUUUUCUAAUAAAGCAGAAAGCAUGCAAGUAAAUAGGAUAAAACCUAGAAAAUAAGAAAAUUACGGGUCCUCACACUCUCUCCCCCUUAACGAAAUUUCGUCCUCGAAAUUUUCUCAUCAUUGGGAUCUGUCAAAAUCCAAGGUAACCAAUAGAUCGUACCUUCUACGUUUUCAGAUGAGUCAAGGACCUGAUGAUGCUCCAGAGAAUAUACUCGAGCCGGUACUUUCGCUCCAGUCCCUUCUCCUUUCGACUGUCCAUGGUUGGUCUUGGCUGGUUGCUGAGAGUUGGUCUUGGUUGGUGGUGAAGUCCCUCUCCCUUCACGCAGUCGAGCUGGACAGUUAGCAAUUCGAUGUUCGGCGCUACCACAGCGCAGGCAUUUUCCUUCUUUCUUCCAACAAUUUGCCUCCGUGUGAUUUGGCCCUCUGCAAUAUCCACAGGGACCACGAGUAGCAGAGACCGAUCCUCCGGGUGAGACACCACUGGCCACCCCCGGUUGUCGUACUCCCCCAUUUCCUUUUCCACUCUUAGGGGGUGUGCUCUUAUCUUCCUGUUCCAAGCUGCUCCCAGGAAAGCCCCCUUUUUUUUGGCUUGGAAGUUUCUAACUUGUAACCUCGCAGUUUCAACUCGCUGCGCCUUCUCCACCGCAUCACUAAAGGCAUUAAGUUGGGCUACCGCCAAAUCCUUCUGAAUUUCAACAUUUAAUCCUUGGAUGAAUCGCCUUAUCCGUCUUUGUUCGGUUAUAAUCAGUUCGGGCGCAAACUUAGACAACCAAGUGAAUUGACUCUCAUACUUGGCUACAGUUUGGGUUCCUUGGCGAAACCGAAUAAAUUCAUCUUCCUUCUUUUCUUGGAUUAGAGGAGGGAAAAACUUGGCAUUAAAUUCUCUCAUAAAGUUCGCCCACGUUCUCGGGGUUUGUUCUCUUUCCCAUUUCAUUCGAAUGAUAUUCCACCAGGAACGGGCGGCUCCCUCUAGUUGAAAGACAGCAAAUGUCACCUGUCUCUCCUCAGUGUAGUGUAAUGCAGCAAAAAUAUCGAUCAUUUUCUCCAGCCACCUCUCAGCCACGUCAGGAUCAGGGCCUCCGAGAAAUUUGGGUGGGGAGAACUUUUGAAAUCUCUCAAGGGCUCUAUCCUCGCCCUCUAUAUGAUUACCAGGGUUUCCAGGUUGAGGAUUGGGGUUUUGGCCCUGGUGUUCCACUAUGUGGGCUAGCAGAUCGGUCAUGCGCUGAAUAGCAGCGGCUACUUGGGCAUUUGGGUCGGCCCUAGGUUUAGGUAUUGGUUCCCGAUAACCCUCUUCAUUCGUGGGUUGCUCACGCCCGCGCCCACGACCUCUUCCACUACGAGAACCCUCCAUUGGUCUAUCCAAUUUAGGGUCGAAUCGUGAAUAUAACAUUAAAUAAACAAGUAACUAGAGGUACACACAGAUCAAAAGCAUAGAUACAUCACACAACGUUAUCAAACAAAUCACACGGUAGCAGUCAAUAAACUACAAAUAAGGAAAGCUAGGAAGGUAGCGGGGUCAUCCAAAAGGUACUAUAGAUAAACAAGGCCAAAAGUACAACAAUAACGCGCGAUAAGCUAUCCUCUCUAGGGCUCCGUCCAUAAUCUACAGGAAUAACACAAUUUAUAUCUUAAUCAAGGUUAGCCAUGCUUACUUACACCCGAACAAACUACACAAAGUUCCAUAGAAUCACAUUCCUAGGUUGCCCAAGUCGCUCCUAACCUAGGCUCUCAUUUAUUUAAUAGCCGGGCACAAGAAUCACAAAUAAGAUACUUCACAACUCGAGCUGGCCGGUCCCAAGAGUAAACCAUCCAUAUUAAAGAUUCCUACCCAACCUACAUAUCUAUUUUCCUCAAGUUCCAUGCUAAAGAUGUUUACACUUACCAGUUCAUAACUUAUACUCUAGAAAAGCACUUAAUCCUUUAAACACAUUCACAGAAUCAGGACCAUAACACCACUUGGCCCCAAGCUCACUCCGCGCAGAGACCACGCGAAGCAGCUCUGAUACCACCUGUGACAGCCCCACCUCUCCCUAAGGCGAACCAAAGGGUUUAGCGGACCGCCUGCCUAGCUCUCGCCAGGACUACGGAGUCGAAUCACACAAAUCCUAUAUUACGCGCGAUAGGACCCAAAAACAAAUUUGAACAAUUGAAGACCGCCAAGCUUCGAAGUAACUUCCCAAAAUCACAUGAGAAAAACACUCUCAUAUAUACAUGUUGAUAGGUUUACAAAUCAAAUGGAACCCUUGAAACGAAAUACAUUUAGAGUUUGCCCACUCUCGAGGAGCUAUGCAAAAGAACCAAAGAGUAUCUAACUAGUUCAACUCGCGUCUCAAAAUCAUGAUUUCCAAAAGGGGUUCCUGUAAGGAAAACAAAGAUAACGAGGAGAGGGUGAGCUUACGCUCAAUGAGAUACCAAACAUGUAGCAGUAAAAUCAUGGCAUUUCACGUUAUACAAAUCAGGUACACAUGCCCGCUAUAAAGUAAAACAAUUAAACACAAGGACUCAGGAGCCAGUUUUCCAGUGCAAUACUUGAUCCAAGCCGGUUGAUUCUCCGUCAACAUAUAUAGAACCAACGCGUCCGUAGACCCCACUUUACGCCAAAUUCCGUCCACCAAACACCCCUUACCGGGCCCGAACACCUCAACGGAAACAGAAAUGGUAAUACUCGAGUAUAUCGGAAUCAAGAGUCUCAAUACCCAAAGAUUCCUAGAAUCAGACUAUCGUGGUUCGUUAUCUAAUCGACCAGGCUGUAAGGCCCAAAACAACCAAUGCAAAAAUCAUAAACGAAACAAUAAGUAAAUAAAAAGGAAAGGAUUGCAAACCAAUUAACUACCCAACUCCUCUUGAGCUUGUAGAUUAAUUGAAACAAGCUACUUCAAGUUGAUGAAUUACAAUCACUCUUGUGUACAAAGGAAGGUUCACCUCCUCCUUGCCCCAAGCAGCACUCGGUCAAGCCAGGACGUUUUACUAUCCCUCAAGACAACCCUCACAGAGCUACACUCUUGAAAGAUUUACUCACAAGUGAAAAGCUUACAAUGAACCUCACACCACUAAGACUACAAAUAUUCUUUUUUAGAGUAUUUUCUCACUAAAAUCUCUCUAGAUCUUUUGUAUCUUCAGUGUGCCAAAAUUGUUUUAAGUGUCUGACCAACCACUAUUUAUAUAGGACCAAGAAAGUGGCUCAUUAAUGCUUCCAACGGAUAGAAAGUAGCUGAACAGUCAACUAGCCGUUGGCAGUGUCGGACGUCCGAUAGCUCUGUUUUAUGCGUCCGACAGCAGGCAGAGAGUUUAAGACUUUUUCUUCAAUUCUUUAGGACGUCCGAUAGGCUAGUUUUCUGCGUCCGAAGAUACUCAAUGGUUGUCGGACGUCCGAUGCAGUCUUUUUGAGCGUCCGACAGUUUCAGCAUACUUUGUCUUCUUCCAAUUGCACUUGUUCAUGAAAUCAAAUAAUUUCAUAACUGAAAAUAUAUCUUAAAGAAAUAUUAGUAUCAUCCAUUUGUUUUGUAAACAUCAAAAGAUAGGGAUCAAGAUCAACAAUCUCCCCCUUUUUGAUGAUGACAAAACAAUGGAUGGAAAGAAACAAAAAUAAGUAUAAGCUCCCCCUCAAUCAUUGCAACCAAAACUUUUAAGAGCCAAACUCAUAAUCUCAGAAUAACUCCCCCUUACACAUUGCAUUUUGAUGAUGACAAAACAAUGGAUGGAAAGAAACAAAAAUAAGUAUAAGCUCCCCCUCAAUCAUUGCAACCAAAACUUUUAAGAGCCAAACUCAUAAUCUCAGAAUAACUCCCCCUUACACAUUGUAUCCAUUUCUCCCCCUUUUUGUCAUCAUAAGAGUAAAAUCAACUGCUAUAAUCCAGCAACAAUAACAGAGAAUUCAAUAUUCCAAGAAAAAAAUAGAGAAAUGACAGCAAUCACAGCAAAUCAUCAUGAGAUCAGCAUUAUUCUUUUAUCUCUCUUUUUGACAUCAUAUAGAUUCAGUAGUAUUCAAAGAUAUCAGCGAAAACUCAGAUCAAAGUAUCAAAAGAAAAAAUAUUCUGAACAAGAAUCACUGCAAUGAUUAGACAAAACCUCCUACUUGUUAAAAUUAGCAUCAUGUCUAACUAUCCACAUGCAUUUCAUGCCUUUUUUUAUAUUCUUUCUCACAUAGCAAUCACUUUUCUUGUGACCUUUUUGACAACAGAAAUUACACAUAAUCAGGGAAUUAUUCAUAUGAACAGGUUUAAUAAAUCUUACUUGUCUUCUCCUAUGGAAAGCAAACUCAUUUGCAGCAGAAUUUAUCUUAAAAUGAGGUUUUGAUUUAUUACUUUGAAAACAGUCCUGUUUUUUAUGUUGAAGCAACUCAUUUAAAUCAUCCAUUCUUCUUUUCAAAUCAUCUUGUCCCCUUUUGAACAUUUCACAAAAACUUGUUUUUCUAUCAAGAUCCAAGUGUAAAGCAGUCUCACUUUUUUUGAAGUAAUCAUUUUCAGCUUUCAACUUUUUGUUUUGUUGAAAAAGAUUUGCAUUAUCUCGAAGCAAAAAACUAAUUUUCUAUUUUAAUUCCUUGUUUCUAACAUAAGAUUCUUUCAAACUAUCAUGCAAUUUUAUAAUGAAAGAUUCAAGAUCAUCAUCAUCUUCAUCAUCACUUUCACAUUGAGAGCUAGAAGAUGUUACCUCAUCAUCUCCAAUGGCCAUGAAAGCCAAUUGAGCAGAUUGAUCUUCCUCUUCAAUUUCACCAUCGGAAUUGCAUUCAUUCCAUGUGAAUUGAAAUUUGUUUAUUCUUGGUUUUCUUCCUUCUUUCUUCUUCAUCACUGGACAGUCACUUGCAUAGUGUCCAGGUUGGCCGCAUUCAAAGCACUGAUCAGUUUGCUUUUUGUUGAACUCUAGCUUCCCUUUGUUUCUCGAGUUGUUGAACUGAUUUGGGAAUGAAUUGCUAGGUCCACCAUUUCUGAAUCUCCUCUUGUUGAGUAUUCGUUUGAAACUUUUUGUGAUGAGAGCGAUAUCAUUGUCAUCACCUUCCACAUCUUCUUCAUCUAGGGAGGCAGAAUCAUCUUCAUCUUGUGAGGCUUUUAGAGCAAUAUUCUUUCGCACUUUUGCAUCCUCUUCCUCUUGCACCUUAGUCUUAAGUUUCAACUCAUAAGAGGUAAGAGAAUUAAUAAGAGAUUCAAUAGGCAUAGUAUUCAAAUCUCUAGCCUCCUCAAUAGCAGUCACUUUAUUUUCCCAAUCAUUGGACAAGGCAUUCAGGAUUUUUCUAUUUUUCUCACCAAGAGAAUAUUCUUUUUCCAGCACCUCUAAAUCUUUAAUGAGAUCAUUGAAUCUACAAUACAUUUGAUCAACAUUUUCAUGAGAUUCCAUCUUGAAAGAUUCAUACUUUGUAACUAGAAUGGACUUCUUUUGUUCUCUAACAUUUUCACUACCUUCAUGAAUUUCUUUCAGUUUGUCCCAAAUUUCUUUAGCUGACUUGCAACCCUUGACUCUAAUAGAUUCAUUUGAGUCUAAUGCACAAUAUAACACAUUCAUGGCUUUUGCAUUUAAGGUGAGAUGAGCUCUAUCCACAGCAGUCAGUUCACUUCUUGUUUUCGGUCUAGAUGCAUGAGUAUUUUCAUCUAUAAGAGAGGCAUCAUAUGGACCUUCACUAAUAACAAACCACAAUUCGAUAUCAAUAGAUUGCAAAAAGAUAAUCAUUCUUUCUUUCCAACUCAUAUAAUUUGACCCAUUAAACACAGGUGGUCUAAUAACAGAAUGUCCUUCAAAAAACAUAGCAUUAUUGGUUGUCAUCUUUACUCCAACUGAUGGUGAGAUUGCGUUUCUUCCUGACACUCAUGCACUUCGUUAGGGGGAGUUCCAUUUCUUCCUGUAUACUCAUGCACUUCGUUAGGGGGAGCUGUUAUAUUCUAGUUCGUAUAUUUUUGCUCUAUCCAAAUGUUUUGUCAUCAUCAAAAAGGGGGAGAUUGUUUAUCUCAAUUUAUAUCUUUUGAUGAUUACAAAACAAAUGGAUGUUUCUAAUACUUUUUGUAGAGACCCUUUUCAGAAAUGACACUAAACAGGUCUGUGGACUUAAAGCAAAAAAGAAGGACAAAAAGGAUGUAAAAGUACUGAGGAUGAUGUCGGACGCACAAAAGGAGAGUAUCGGACGUCCGACAUUCUUUGAGUAUAUUUGGACGUAUGAAGAACUCAGACUCGGACGUCCGAAGAAGACAAGCCAGGGCUUCUACGACUACUGAUCACAUGACACACGAGUCAGAUCGGACGCUCAACACCUGAGUAUCGGACGUCCGAUAAGUUGCUGCACUUCGGACGCAACACAUUGGACGUAUCGGCAGUCCGAAGAAUUGAAGAGGAAAAUUCCAAGUGUCAUCUUACUCUCGAGCAUGUGAUAAGGGAUCGGACGUCCUAAGAGAUUCAAGAGAACUUCCAGAAAUCAUUGAUCGCGUUCGGAUGCAUAAAACUGACUAUCGGACGUCCGACAGCACCAACGACUAGUUGACUCUUCAGUUGCCUUCUACCGUUGACAGCAUUAUUGAAGAAUUUUCUGGUCUCGUAUAAAAAGAACAAAGUCAACCACCUCUGAGUAACUUUGCACAUCAAGUUACAUCAGAUCGUGAGUGAUUCAAGUGUUAGAAUACUCCUAAAGGAACAUUUGUACUCUUAGCUUGUGCAAUCUUCUUGUAGUUUUUCAAGUGUGACACAGCUUCUUCAAUAGUGUAGCAUUGUGAGGGUUUUCGAGUGUUUGUAAAACUUCCUUGCUUGACCAAGUGUGAUUGGGGCAAGAAGGAAGUGAUCCUUCCCUUGUACACAAGAUAUUGGUUUGCAAGAUUGUUCAACUUGAAGUAACUCAGUAUAUAAAGUACUGUUCAAACUCAAGUUGAGUUUGAAGUCUGGUUUGUUUCUCUAUUCUCGUUUACAGCUUUUUUAUAAACUGUUCUCCACUUCAUCUCACGUAUACCUGAGCUUUCUUGUAAACUGAUCCAUUGGGUAGUCAUUGAGAAAAGAAGGAUAGGCUUUGAAAAAGGUGACUUAUAUUUCAGCUGGUUUUUUGAAAACCUAAUUCACCCCCCCUCUUAGGUUGUCUUCGAUCCUUACAAUGCUCAUUGAGACUAGAAAAAUCCCGAAUCUGGUUGUGCAAGGUGGUAUAAUUUGACUCUAGUUGUUGCUGAUUUGGCACAACUAGCUCAUCUGGAGAUAGAACAAUGAACCAAUCAUGUUGCACAUCUGUUGAAGCAUGAACCAGUGAGGUAAGAACAAUAUUCGAAUCUUGAUUGAUACACUUGUGUGCAUCACCCAACAUAAGUGGCAGCAAUGAAGUAAAGUUUACUCCAUACGAAUCACAUGAAUUUGCACAAGUUGGAGUUGAUAAAAUGAGCUCAUGGUGACUAACAUUUGGACGUGUGAAUAUGCAUGAAACAUCACAACAUGCAGCUGGAACAAGCAUGAAAUCAGAUUGCAACUCUUUAGUCAAAGCUGGAAAAUUUUUACUACCUACAAAAACGAAAUAAGCUUCAACUUGUUUCGAACUAGAAAUUGGAUAAAGAAGUAAUGGGAUAUCAUUAGCUAAAUGGUAAGAAGGUGUAUGUGACAGCUCCACCUUUCCCCAGGGCGAACCAAAGAGUUCGGCGGGUUGCCUGCCCAACUUGCGCCAAGACUCACUUAUACAAUCGAAUAAAAUACUUCCAACGUACGUAAAAUAAUAAUUCCACAGCUUAUAACAUAACUAAGUUCAACUUACAACCCGACUAAUAAAAUAUGAUCCAACGAACUAAUGAUACGAUCAAAGUUCAUCUUACAAGCUUUCGAAAUAUCGAAUUCAAAGUUUAACACAACCUAAAAGAUAAUACAGAAGAAACAAGAUCACACCCUAACUGACAGCGGCUUCACUCAGGUUCUCAAUUCCUGUUAAAGAAAACAAAUUUUAAAGAAUGAGCUAAUGCCCAGUGAGUUCCUAAAAAGGCAUGCAUACACGUAGAGUAGUUUGAAUUACACUUCAAGUUCACAAAUUCAACGCAAAUAAAUAAAGCUAUUAACAAUAUCAAGGGGUAGGAUAUAAGUGGCUCUCAAGAGCCAACUUCCACGAAGUUGAUCUUAUUUCACGUAGUCGACAUUCCGUCGGCUUUCAAUGUAAUGUAACCAGUCCAAUAGAUCACCAUUUAACUCCAUUCUCGGUUGAGAGGCACGAGAGGCACCUUCCACUCGAGUUGAGUGUGGUACAUGCUGCCGCUCAGCAUUAGGGACGACGAGAUAACACUCCAAUCGAUUUAAUCAAGAUAGAGGUACUGAAAUGGAAUGAGAGGCACCUCCCAUUUGAAUUGAGUGUGGUACAUGCUGUCGCUCAGCACUAGGGUCGACGAGAUAACAUUCCAAUCGACUUAAUCAAGAUAGAGGCACUGAGACGGUAUUAGAGGCAUUUCCCACUCGGAUUGGGUGUGGUACAUUCUGCCGCUCAGCACUUACAAGUCAAGUACAAGCACAAACACAAGUACGAUCACUCAAGUUCAAGCAAGUACAAGAUUAUUCAAGAAGGGGAGGACGAGUGUGAUAAAGUACACUCUCGCCUCAUUCAAAACACUAUACAUCUCAAUCGUAAUAUCAAGUUCACAUUUAUGUCACAUGUACAAAUUCAAGACAGAUAACUUACAAAUUCUAGGAUAGAUUUUAGGAGGUAUCUUAUCAAUUUUUCCUGCGGCUUUAAGAUGUUCAUAUAACUGAUCAAUGGGCCGAUAUAGAUUGGUGAAAGUUCUGUAUGAGGUUGGGUUUUGGGUGUCAUUGGUUUGAUGAUAGUUGUAAUUCUGGUUGGCUGGUGAAGCAGGUCUUGGAUUAUAAGGAGGGCGAGAUCUAGUUUGAAAAUUAGGUGGAGAAAUAUAAAAUGGUGUUGUGGGUGUGUUUGGGUAAUUUGGUUAAGGUCAAGAAUGGUUAAUGGUGGUAUGAUAAAUAGGUCGAGGGCGUGGAUGGUAUGGGUAAUAGGAUGGAUAGGUGGGAUAUUAUUGAUAUCUAGGUCGGGAAGAAAGGUCUUGGUCCCAAACAAAUGCAGCUUCCCCUUCUUUCUUUUUGAACUGAGAUUUCUUGCCAUUGUUGUUUUGAUUUUACAAAGUUUGUAAUUGCAAUUUCAAAGCUGACACAUUAACAAUCUUUCAUGCUCUUAUGAACUCAUCAUACUCCUCCAAUUUGUUAAUAAUUGCUACAAAUGAGCAUCCAAUUAUGUGAAAAAUUUUCUCAAAAUAUGGCGGGUCAUGAGUUUUGAUAAACGUACAAACAAUUUCUUCUUUAUUCAUAGGAGGUUCCACCCAGCCAAUUUCCUCCAUCGCUUUUUGCAUAUGUUUUGUGAUUCUCAGAUGGCUUCCUUUUAGUACUCUCAAGUGUGGUUCUCGUCUGAGCAAACUCGCAAUUAUACUUAUAUUGUCUUACAAAAGCAGUUAACAAAUCCAACCAUGUUCUCAUUUCAUCAGGCUUCAAAUUAGAGUACCAAUUCAGUGCAUCACCUUUUAAGCUUUCGGGAAACAAUCGAACUGGCAAAUUCUCAUCAUCUACUGGCUUUUCUAAUUUGUUUGCAAACAUUCGGAGAUGUGUCUUGGGACUGCCCGUUCCGUCAUACUUGCUAAAUUUGGGUGUUUAAAAACCAACAAGAAGUUGCAUAUCAGGAAAUAGGCACAAUUCAUUAUAGUUCAAACCUCCUUGUUUGCUCAAGCCUUGGCUCUUCCUCAUGAAUUCAUCAAACUGAUCCAACCUCUUUAAUAGAUUCUUGUCAAUUGGCGCGGAGGAUUCCCCUACUUCAACUUUUCCUUGUGCAGAGGUGUCUAGCGUGAAUGGUUCUGCAAUGGAAUAAUAAUAUGGUUCUUGAGAUUCAAGUGGCAUGUUCAGAUUAAUAGGUGGAUAAUUUUGAGAAACUUGAGUGUGAGGAGGAUUGAUUUGGAUAUUGGAUGUAUAAGUAUGUGGUAGGCCAAAAGUGGGAUAAGUGAAAGAUUUCUCAGGUGAAGUUAUGAAAUGUGGAGCAAAAGGGACUUGAGUAUGAGGUAUGGGUAGUGGUUGAAGUUCAAGUUAACUAGCAGGUAAGGGAUCAUGUUGGACACCGCUGCUGCUACCAGCAACUAACUGAUCAAUCAUGCGUUGUUGUGUGGUCAUCUCCAUGCUUAACUCAUUGAAUUUGUUUAACACUUCGCUCAGUUGAGCUCCCAGAUUUGCAAGGUUGGCUGAUGGUGUCGUUGCAAACCUAUUGGAUGAUUCAGGAUAUGUACUCAUGUUUAUGUUAUUUCUAAAACUCGGCUACACGAUCGUGUAAUGAUGAGGCUUCUUUGUGUAGCUAUAUUUGCAAUUUUCUGAAAAUUUAGGAAGAAUCUAUUUGGAUUCUCCUAUUUAUUAAUUGCUGACAAAAAGAAAAAAAAACAAAAAGACGCGAGUUAGUAAAAAUUAAAGCAAUUCGGAUACAUGUUCUAUUGAGGAACCCUUUUUAUGUCAAGGGUAGGUCUAACAUGAUGCAACACCUCCCAUGUGACACCCCCACUUCUUCUUAAGGCGAACCAAAGGGUAUCGGCGGGACGCCUGCCCAACUCUCGCCAAGAUUCGAUACAAUUCUAGUUCAAACUUAAAAUUAAAUAACCGAUAAUAAAAGUCGAACUGAAAAUGAGUUGCUUCCAUAUAUAAGUAUUCAAUCUUACAUCACAAUUAGUCAAAAUACAUGAACUUCCCCGAAAUAUACAACUUUCAAAAGAUGUCGAGUCCAAUACAUUCAAAACCCUAAUCAAAAGACCAUCAAGUCAGGUUUUCUGCAAUUCCUUCCAUUUCAACCCCUGUUAAGGAAAACAAAUCUAACAGGGUGAGCGGAUGCUCGUGAGGCCAAGAAAAUUAUGCAAGCACGUAAUUCAAGUAGCAAUAAACUCAUACGAGAAAUAAAACUAUAACAUUCAAGUAAUUUACAAAAUAACACAAAACACACUUGAUAAGGAUACGGGAGCUCUCAGGAGCUAGCUUCCACUUGCUUUGUCAAGUCUCGAUCGUAUACCUCUGCGUGAUGACACUUCGUCAUCCGGGUAGGUAUUUUUAGUCUAUAGAACACCGUUUUACUUCACGAAUCCCGUUCGCCGUUACACCCCCUGUUUCGGGCCCGCUUAUCAUUUAGAAGGUGAUAUUAAUCGAGUAUGCCAAGCGAGAUCUCUCAAAUAGAUCAAGCUUUACGAAUAAUCUCAUGGUUCACCAAACUUCUCGACCAAGCCCAUGCCGGCUCGAGUUACAAGGUUAGCCUUUGAGUUUGGACGUCCCUCGAAUAGGAAUAUGAAUAUAAGUCGAUGAGCAGCGCUCCAUUCAACGAUUCCAAAUAUGAAUCAAACAUACGAAUCACAAAUACGAAUCAUAGCCAUACGAAUAUGAGUCAAUGAAACAACGUUCCAAUCGACGGUUUCAAGUAUAAUGCACAUACCAAAUUCGAAUAUAAUUUUCAUUUGAAAGAGAAUGAGUGUGAUAAAGUACACACUCGACUCAAAAAUUCCAAAUUCACAUAAUUGAUGCUAAACAAUUCACGUACUUAACCACAUAAUAUGCACUUGACACUCACCAAGUCAAAACAAAAGUGAGUGAGAAAGUCUUUAACGAUCCGCUUCGAGAUUCUCUUCGAGACCUUCUUGAUCGCCUGAAGAAAAACGACCAACAAUCACUCUCACACAUUCACAAAUUCCUUAUCAAACAAAGAAGAACGCACACUUGCUUUAAAAUUCAAGUCAAUGUCUUUAUAAGAGUUUCACUUUAUAGAAAGUCAAGAUUCAAAAGUGAGAAUUUUAAAGUUACUAAGGAAACUCAUAUCGUCAUGAAAUCGGGUUCAAAACGCUAUAUCAAUAUCAAGAUAAGAAGUCAAGUUCUCAAAAUUUCAUUUUCUAAUAAAUCGGCAAAUUUCGGCUUUGCGUGUCAAAGUUAGAAAAAUCAGAUCUUACACUCAGUAGGUCCAAAAUUGGAAAUAUUAAUACCAUUGGAAACUAGAUCCAAAGUACUAAAAGUCCCUAGAAGAUACUUUUCCAAGAUUCUAAACAGAAGAUAUUCAAAUUUCAGUUCAAAAUGACUGAUUUGAGCAUACAAGACAGUUUUGGUCAUGUUUUUCGGCAAAUUUUGGAAAUUCGGUAAAAUUCACAAAAAGUGAACUAGCAUCUAAAAUUCAUAGCACAACAAGAGCUCCAAACAGGGUUUCAGACACAAUAAAUAGAACUAAAUUCAGAGUUUUGAGUAUCAAGAUAUAGCAGUUCAAAAUCGGUAAAUUUUCACUUCUAAACAGUGAAAUUUCCAGAUUUAAAAGUAAACUUUGGCACAUCAUUUGGGUAUCGAAAUGGUCUUAGAAUAACACUAAAUUUGGUGCAAUUAAACUUCCAUAUGAGAACUACUCCUCUAUCAAAUUUCAUGUAAAAAUCCGUUCGGGAAGGUAGUUAUCAAAACUACCAAAGUUCAAGAAAUUCCCAAAGCAAAUCUGUCUUCUUGCUUUCUUUUCCUUUUCAAAUACUUUGCACCAUGAAAUCAGUCCCAUUUUGGUUCAUUUGUGAAACCAAGGUCCAAGAAACAUUUCAUAAGUAAUUGAUAGUUGGUUGACAUAAAAAUUUCAAAGCAAAACAUUUUACAAACAACUAAACCAGUCUGCCAGCAAAAAGAAAGGUUUUCCAGCUUUGCCGCAGUUUGGAAAUUAAACCAUAUUUCACUCAAUACAACUUGGAAUUGAGAAUGGUUUGUGGCGUUGGAAACUAGAAUCAUAAGGAUACAUUUCAUCAGAACAAAUAGUUUCAAAAUCAAUUCAUAAGUGAGAGAAAAUAGAGCCACAAAAUGCAGCUUCUACCUUUCUCUCGGAUAGACCAUCAGAACAGGAUAGCAAAUUUUCCGAAUCACUACGGCUCACUCAUUUUGAACUAGAAAGUGAAUUUUAUACCGUUGGAAAAUUACAAGUGUCUAGUUUCAAAUGCCAUAAACAACACUCAAUUUUGAAUUUUGUAUAAAGAGAUAUGUUUGAUCAAAGGGACACUGUUCAGACUGCCUGAACAUAUUUUCCAGAUUUCUUUAAAUUUUGAAAUCUCAAAUUUUGCUCAACCAAUUCAAAUAAUUUUUGGUAGAAACUUUUCACACACAAUAUACCACAUAUAUACAUCAGUUUCACAGUCAUUUGAGCAUCAAAAAAUUCGAAAUAUAGGCAAGGCAAAAAUAGGACAGAUUCGGCCAUCAUCCAUGCACAAUCUUCCUUCGAUUUUUCCAUCGUUUCUCACCAUAAUCUUUUCAUCUAGACACAUAACAAUCAUAUUCAAGCAAUUACACCUCAAGCCCGCUACCUAGAGGUCAUCACAAGACCACUAACCUAACAUUUAAAACAGGACAGAUUACACCUCAAGUCCGCUAGCCUAAUCCAUGUGUAGGGUUCAAACCCUUUGCGAAUAAAGCUCCAAUCUUGUAGAAAAUGGAAAGGUUCAAGGUUGAUGAAAACUACCUCUUAGCUUUGUGAAGAAACCAAAAAUUUUGACCGAAAAUCUCCCAAGAAAACCCGCAAGAAGGUGUCUUCCUCCAAGCUUAAGUGAAUCUUCAAGUGGUUUCGAAGUUGGUUGCACUUUGAGAGGUGAAAUGGAAGCAAAAAUUGAAGUGAAAUAGAGAGAGCUUUUCUUCUUCUUCUCCUUGAGGGUUCAGCCGGCUAUGGAGGUGAGGAGAGAGAGAAUGUUUGAUGAAUGAAGCUUCUCUUGGAAGCUUAAGUGAUUUGUGAUUAAAAUUUGUGCAAAAGUCAAUUAGGAAUAGUGCGCGCGCGUGAGUACCGUACCACCAUUUUCUCUCUCAGUUGCUUCAUUUGUGAACUAAACCUCCAAAUGUAAUUCUUUCAAUACUAUAAUUAUUCACUCUUAGUAGUCUAGAAUAAUUUUCUUAAAUCUCCACUUAGUCGAUUCAGCGCGAAAUACACGAAUCUCCGAUUCGUGCACGAUAAGGCAGAAAUUUGAACUCACUCACCUCUAAUCCCUCAAUUAAUUUUUCUUAGUCUACUAUUAAUCAUUUUUAAUUCUCCAAAAUUAUCACCCUCUUGAAUCGAAUAUUGUCUCGAAAAAUGUGUACUUGCUAUUUCUCGCUAAACGAGCGUCCGAAAAAUUAAAUUUGCUAAGGGGACGUUUAAAAAAUAUAAGUAAGGCAUUGUUCCAUGUAAAUGGAUGUAAAAUGGCUGAAAUAAAUUAUUCGGAGAAAACGGGUGAAUAAAUAAUUAAAUAAGCCAGUAAAAUAAGAUAAAAAUAAGAAAAUUUUCGGAUCCUCACAUUCGAAAUUUUGAAUUUUAUAAACAUUAUUUACAUCAUUCCUCGGAGACGGUCUCGUACAAAAUCAUUAAACUUUUUCAACCUAUCUAUUACAACAUCUUUGGAUUCUCUGGUAUAGGGAUUCGUCAUGCGUUCCACUUGAUCGUACAGUUUUCCACAUUUUCUCUUCAAUUUUUAGUGUUUCUCUUGCAUCUUUUCACAUGGCCCCUUAUGUUUCUCUGCCAUCUCUUUGCUAGUUUUGACGGACUCUUUUAGUUGUAAAUUUUCUCUGUCUUUGGCUUCAAUAAUGGGCAUCAAUCUCUUGACCUCCUUGGAUGGUUCGUCUUGUGAUUCUUGCGUACCAAAACCCUUAAGCCAAUCCUCAUAAUGUAGAGUUACUAGACCCUUUUGCUUGAGUUCCAGAAUGUACUUGAUGUGCUCGUCGUCGAACAAUGUCCCCUAGGUCUCAAUGAUAGGAAUCUUCAUUGGAAUUUCAUUUGGACACAUCCUUUUGUCAAAAACAGUGGUGAAUUCGAUUAAAUCAAAUAUAUAUAGCAAUUCUUGAAUGCGGCCCAACUGUCGGAGAAAUCUCUUUGGAGUAUAAGCCAUGAUACCCUGGAUGCCUAGUAAUGGAAUGAACUCUGAUGCUUUGGUGUGAAGUAUGAGUUUAACACAAUUAGUCCAAUCUAAAACUCAUCUAACAUUCUGAUCAGGCAAGUUUUUUAAGAAAUCCACAUACUCAGAUGCAAUACUCAGCAAACCAUUUCCAUUAACCUUCUUGUGAUGCGUGACUAUCCAAUUCUGCCCGGCAGACUAUCAGGAAUAGGCUAUCGUCUCAUAAAGUGCUCCAUAGCGCACAUAUGCAGAACUAAAUUUGAUCCAUGAAAGAAUUUUUCAUCCUUUGGCAAGUAGUGCAAGCUACAAAGAUAUCGGCUAAGAUAGUUGGAACAAUAAAGCAUUGCCUAUCUUUUAUCCUUAGAAACAAAUCAAACAUGACUUUGGUGAGUUUAAAAUCUAUCUUCUUGUCUUUUCUCGGGAAAAGGUAAGUCCGGCCAUAACCAAUUCAUAUAUCCACAGUUUUUUACGCUCCCACAUUGCCUCGGACGUAAAUGAAAAAUCUCCUAGGUGCCUCUCGAACCCAUUUCUCAAUGCAAAUCGAUCGAAUAGGAACUUCAUAUCUAUGCUUUGGUUAAACUCUUGUAUUACGGAUUUCUUUAACCGAAAUGGCAGAACACGGCCUUGCUAGAUACAAACGAAAAUAUUACAACGGUACCAUGAAUUGGUAAAUUAAGAAGGCCAGAUACCUCCUCAAUUGUCACGGUUAUUUCCUUCUUGCCUAGUCUAAAUGUGGAGCAAAUAGGGUCCGACAAAUGUAUCAAAGCCUCUACCAAGUAGCCGUCUGAUUUGAUAUCCUUAAAAUACCCGAUUGAUCCUAAGUGAGAGGCUACUUGGUUAAUUUCACUAGGUGAAAGCAAUGCGGACCACCUCUGUACCUCAAUCGGUACUACUAACAUUUGUUGGACUCGUCGAGGGCGUUCCAUCUAGAGACAAGAAAAUGGUAUCAAGUACCUUACCUACAGAUCCCAUUUUUCCGGUUAAACUGAAAUUUAAACGUGAAAAUCCCAAAACAGGGUUAAAUAUCCAUGGGAAUAUAGGGUUAGCUUAUUCUUAAUAUGGGAUUCUCUAAAUGGCAUUCCUUCUAAAGUUUAUGUAUGAUGCCAAUUUAUCAAAACAAUUGAAUAUGCAAUUUGAAAUGAAAACAUGACCUAAAGGGACUCUUGGUAUGUCAGGGUAGGCCUAAAAUGAUGUGCAAUAUUAUGGCAUUAAAAUGCAAUAACUUGUAAUUUAGACGUGCAAUAACCUAUCUAAUUAGAUCGGUUCUUCAAAAAGUACCAUGCCAAAACUCUUAUUUUCUAAAGUUGGUGCAUGCACAAGAAGAGAAAACAGAGAGAGAUUAGUACAAUAAAUAACACAUAACAAGUUGGAGCAAGAAAAUGAUACAAAAAUGUAAAGUAAAGAAAAAGGGAUAGAAUCCCUCCCCUCGUGUCUAGUGCUCCUAUUUGGGUAAAGUUGACUCUAUCCUAGGCAAUUUCUUAUAUGGAUGCAUGAGNNNNNNNNNNNNNNNNNNNNNNNNNNNNNNNNNNNNNNNNNNNNNNNNNNNNNNNNNNNNNNNNNNNNNNNNNNNNNNNNNNNNNNNNNNNNNNNNNNNNNNNNNNNNNNNNNNNNNNNNNNNNNNNNNNNNNNNNNNNNNNNNNNNNNNNNNNNNNNNNNNNNNNNNNNNNNNNNNNNNNNNNNNNNNNNNNNNNNNNNNNNNNNNNNNNNNNNNNNNNNNNNNNNNNNNNNNNNNNNNNNNNNNNNNNNNNNNNNNNNNNNNNNNNNNNNNNNNNNNNNNNNNNNNNNNNNNNNNNNNNNNNNNNNNNNNNNNNNNNNNNNNNNNNNNNNNNNNNNNNNNNNNNNNNNNNNNNNNNNNNNNNNNNNNNNNNNNNNNNNNNNNNNNNNNNNNNNNNNNNNNNNNNNNNNNNNNNNNNNNNNNNNNNNNNNNNNNNNNNNNNNNNNNNNNNNNNNNNNNNNNNNNNNNNNNNNNNNNNNNNNNNNNNNNNNNNNNNNNNNNNNNNNNNNNNNNNNNNNNNNNNNNNNNNNNNNNNNNNNNNNNNNNNNNNNNNNNNNNNNNNNNNNNNNNNNNNNNNNNNNNNNNNNNNNNNNNNNNNNNNNNNNNNNNNNNNNNNNNNNNNNNNNNNNNNNNNNNNNNNNNNNNNNNNNNNNNNNNNNNNNNNNNNNNNNNNNNNNNNNNNNNNNNNNNNNNNNNNNNNNNNNNNNNNNNNNNNNNNNNNNNNNNNNNNNNNNNNNNNNNNNNNNNNNNNNNNNNNNNNNNNNNNNNNNNNNNNNNNNNNNNNNNNNNNNNNNNNNNNNNNNNNNNNNNNNNNNNNNNNNNNNNNNNNNNNNNNNNNNNNNNNNNNNNNNNNNNNNNNNNNNNNNNNNNNNNNNNNNNNNNNNNNNNNNNNNNNNNNNNNNNNNNNNNNNNNNNNNNNNNNNNNNNNNNNNNNNNNNNNNNNNNNNNNNNNNNNNNNNNNNNNNNNNNNNNNNNNNNNNNNNNNNNNNNNNNNNNNNNNUUCUUUUUCCCUUGAAGACAAUAUUAAAUUUGAGUCAAGAACAGAAACAGAUUUCUAUCACACAAUUGACUAACACUUAACAAGUUAUAACUCAAUAUCAACACUAGAAGACAUUGUGAAAUAAAAGUUUGACCAUUCUUAUCAACAUCUCCUACGCCAACUGUUUUGGUUUUGUUAUCAUCUCCAAAUGUUAUUUUUCUACUUGAUUUUGACUUGAGUUUGAUGAAUUGUGAUGGAUCACCGAUCAUGUGCCUUGAACAUCCACUAUCUAUGAACCAUUUUGAUUCCUUAAUGAUAUUUACCAAGUUCACCUACAUAAAAGUUCACAAGAUAAUAUUUGGUACCCUUUAUUUUUUGGGUACUUGAGAGUUAGUAUUAUGUCUAACUAUCCACAUGCAUUUCAUGUUAUUUCUCAUAUUUUAUCUUACAUAGCAAUUACUCUUCAUGUGACCUAUUUUGUGACGCCCCCAUUCUCCUUAAGGCGAACUAAAGGUAUCCGCGGAUGUCUGCCCAACUUUCACCAGGACUCAGUACAAUUCUAGUUCAAAUUUAAAGUACAAAACUAACAAUGAAAUCGGAAUAAAGGCACGAAGUUAUUCCCAUACAUAAAUGUUCAAUCUUACAUCACAAGUUCAAGAUACAUCCUUUUCCAAAAUAUACAACUUUCCAAAAAGAUGUCUAGACAACAUACAUUCCAAAAUUCAAGUCCAAAGAGCCAUCAAGUAGGCUUUCCGUAACUCCUUCCAUUUCGGUUCCUGUUAAGGAAAACAAAUCUAACGGGGUGAGCGGAUGCUCGUGAGGCCAAGAAAAACAUGCCAAGACAUAUAAUUCAAGUAACAAUGACAGUUAGGCAAGAAUUAAAGGUGUAACAUUCAAGUAAUUCACAAAUUUCAAUUUAACACAUUCAAUGAGGAUACAGGAGCUCUCAAGAGCUAAGUUCCACUUGCUUCGCCAAACCUCGAUCGAAUACCUUCCCGCGAUGACACUCCGUCAUCCGGGUCGGCAUUUAAGUCCGUAGAACUCCACUUAUUUCACAGUUCCGUCCACCAUACACCGCACCAAGCCCACACUUCAAUAAAAGCACUACUAUGCGAGUAGACCAAGCAAGAUCUCUCAAUAGAUCAAGCUUACAGUUACUCAUGGUUCACCAAGCUCCUCGACCAAGUCCUUGCUGGCUCGAGUCGCAAGGUCAGCCAAUUGAGAUUUGGGCAUCCCCACAGUUCAGUUCAGUUCAGUUAUGAGUCGAGGAAUUUCACUCCAACGACAUUCAGUCAAUCAAUUUCAGUUCAGUCAAUCAAUUACAGUUCAAUCAUGAACAAUUCAGUAUUUCAAUCAGUUAAAGGAGUACGAGUACGAUAAAGUACACUCGACUCAACAAUUAUCAAUCGUUCAAUCUACAAGAAGCAAUUCAUAUAAUUGCAACAAGUUAUGCACUUGACACUCACCAAUCAAAAUAAGGGAGUAGUGUUCAAUCAAGUGUUUAGGCGUCUGCUGUGAGGUCCUCUUGAAGGUCCCUUGAGUGCCUGAGCAAAUAAUAAUUUACUAUCACACACUAUCACUUAUAAAUCCCCUGUUAACAAGAAAGAUUCUACACUUGUAUAAUCUAAGAAAUAUCAUGAAAGAGAGCCUUAAUUACUCGUAAAUCGAGACUCAAAAGUGGGGUUUAAUAACACAAUGAAAAAUUGAUUUUCUUCAUGAAAUCAAGUUUAAAACGGUUAAUCGAUAUCGAAGGGUAGUGAAGAGUUUCUAAAUCUUAUUUCCCAACAAGUUGGAAAAAUUCAGUUUGAAGUGUCAACUUUGAAAAUCAUAUCUUGCACUCAGUAGGUCAUAGGUCCAAAAUUGGAAACCUUUGUACCAUUGGAAUCUUGUUCAAAGUACUAAAAGUUCCUAGAAGACAUCUUUCCAAGAUUUUAAAUGGAAGACAUUCAAAUUCAGCUCAAAGUGGCUAACUUGAGCAUACAAGACAGUAUUAGUCUUAUUUUUUGGCAAAUUUUGAAAAUUCGGCAAAAUUCACAGAAAGUGAACUAGCAUUUGAAAUUCGUACUACAAUAAGAGUUUUUAAACAAAGUUCAAACACAAUAGACGGAACUAAAUUUGAAGUUUUGAGUGCCAAAAUAUAGCAGCUCAAAGUUAGCCCAAAAAAUGAAACUGUUGGUCAAUUUUCAGAUUUGAAGAACAAAUUUGGCACAUCAUUUGUAUACCGAAACAGUCUUAGAAUGACACCAAAAUUGGUACAAUUUAACUUCCAUAUGAGUACUACUCCUCUAUAAAAUUUCAUUUGAAAAAUUGUACGGGAAAGUAGUUAACAAAACUACCAAAAUUUAAGAAAUUUCCAAGACAAAUCUGUCUUCUUGCUUUCUUUCCCUUUUUAAACAUUUUGCCCACUGAAAUCAACUCCAAUUUGGUUUUUUGGUGACACUAAAGUCCAAGAAACAUCUAAUAUACAUUUGGUAGGUGUUUGACACCAAAAUUUUCGAAACAACGUGUCCCAAGUCAAACUAGACCAAUCGGCUAGAAAAAAUCAGGGUUUUCCUGCUUUGGUACAGUUCGGAAAUUCGACUGCAUCUCACUUAAUACAACUCAAGAUUGAAAAUGGCCAGUGGCAUUUGAAACUAGAAUCAUAAGGCUACAUUUCAUCUGAACAAAUCAUUUUGAAAUUCAGUUUGCAAAUGAGAAGAAAAUAGAGCCACAAAUUAUAGUUUCUACUUUUCUCUCGGAUAGGCUAACAGAACAGGGCAGCCAAAUUUGAUCAAUCACUACAGAUGACUCAAUUCGAAUGAGAAGGUGUAUUUUACACCGUUAGAAAACUACAGAUGUCUAGUUUUGAAUGCCACUGAUGGCACUCAAUUUCGACUUCCGAACAGAGAGAUAUAUUCGUUCAAAGAACAUUGCCAGAGGACCACUGUUACACGAAUUUUUCAGAUUUGUUCUUGCCAAAAUUCAAUUUUUAUCCAAUCAAUCCAAAUGAUUUUUGGUAGAAACGUUCUAACACUAUACACAACAUAUAUACAUCAGUUUCAAGGUCACUUGAGUAUAAAAAAUUCAAACUAAAGCCACUGUAAAAACAGGACAGAUUUCGGUCAGCUUUCCUACGAAAUUUUCCUUCAACUGUCCUUCGAUUCUAUAUCCAUAAUCAUCCUAAGCAACACUUAAACAACUCAAAUUAAAACAUUAUAUCAUCAUAUAAGCUCAUACAACCAAGGUGGGAAUUCAUAGACCCACAUCAACCAUUCCAACCCAAGCAACAACAACAAUAUUGAAGCUAUAAGCUUCAAAGCUAAGAAAUAAAUCCAUUAAAGCCAAGGAUAAAAGGUUAGAUGAUUACCUCUAGCUUCAAGAGAAAAAUCAGAAAUUUUGGUCCCAAAAACUCCUAAGAAAAUCGGAAAGAUGACGUCCCUUUUCUAGCUUAAGUGAAUCUUCAAGUGGUUUAGAAGUUGUGUGAUGAUUUGUAAAGGAUUUGGUGCAAGAAUGGAAGUGAAAAUGGAAAGGGUUCUUUUCUUCUUCCUCCUUGGAGGUUCGGCCAGCCUUGGUGAGAGGAGAGAGAGGAAGAGCUGAUGAAUGAAGCUUCUUGGAGAAGCUUGAGGGUUUUGUGUUAAAAUUUAAGCCAAAGUCAACUAUGAAUAGUACUCGCGCGCGAGAGUUUUGUAAGUCCCACAGACAACCAAGAGGGGGGGUGAAUUGGGUUGAUUAAAAUCUUAACCAAAUUUAUGCACUUUUUUUCAAUAAAAUUUACCUUCUUUUCUAGUGAUGAUCAACCAAGUAGAUUAGAAGACAAGAGCAAUAUUGAUCAGAACAAGUAUAGCAAGUAAUGAGAAUUUAUUAAACAGAAAAGUAAAUUAGGGAAUCAAACCAAGUGUCUACCAAGCUAUCCUCAAACUUGAAGACCAAACACUAGGAGAGCAACUUCUCUUUGAUGAAAGUCGAUCAACUAGAUGUACAAUGGAGGGAGCACUUCCUCCUUGCCCUAAGCCUCACUUAGUCAAGCUAGAAGUUUUACAAUCACUCAGAAAACCCUCAACAAAGCUAUCCUUUCAACCACAAAAGAAAUGCUCAACAGAAAUUCACACCACUUUAAUACAAAUCUGCUUUGGAGACUAUUUUCUAGCUAAAAUAUCUCUUGAGAACUUGUAAACAAAGUGUGCAAAAGUCCCUACUUCGUUCAGACCAGUUUGAUUUUAAAGGGAUCCAGAAAUGGGCUUCAUCAAUGCUUCCAACGGAUAGAAGGCAGCUGAAGAGUCAACUAGCCGUUGGGCUGUCGGACGUCCGACGAUCAAUCAUCGUCCGAACCAAUCGUCCGAAUAGCCAAGUUGAGUUCGGACGUCCGAUAGUUUUUGUCGUCCGACAGCACAGCGUCCGACUUGGCCGAGAGCUAGCAAGUUAUCUUGGAAUUUUCGGACGUCCGAUGCGGUUGAUGCGUCCGAGGUGUGCGUCCGAACCUUCCGGACGUCCGAUGCUCUUUAUGAGCGUCCGACAUAGCUUCCUUCCUGAUGUUCUUACUUCUUUCGGACGUCCGACAGUUUCCUUUCGGCCGUCCGACCUGUUUGUCCUGUUUUUGCUUCUCCUUUUGAUUGUUUUGCAUUUCAUGACACAUUCGAACCUGAUUCUAAACACAACACUCAUAUUUGAAGAAAGUUAGAUAACAUUUCAAAGUACCAAGAAUAACACACUUGACAUACUAACAAGACAGUAUCUUUGAUUGGAACAAAACAAUGACUAAAUUCAUUCAUAUUAUUUCAAUCUUGUUUGCCACAUCCAAAGCAUCGUAGACUGAAGUCAAUUAAACAUAUGCUUUCUUUGUUUCAUCAGGCCUGAUCAAAGUGUUCACUUUCUUGGUCUGUAUAAACAAACUUUUGUGAUCAUCAAAACCAAGAAUAACAUUCUCCCCCUUUUUGAUGAUGACAAAACAAAAGUUUGAAAUGAAAUUGAUGAUUGUAAUGAAAACUCCCCCUGUCUUAGUGAAUCCUAAAAUUUAAAAAUUUUGAAAAACUCCCCCUCACUUGGCUGCCCAUCCGAGUUAAACAAUUAACAUUAAACAAUUAAGCAUAUCAGCCAAUCCAAAUUUAAACAAUCAAUCCAACAUAUCCUAACAUCACUAUCAUCAAUCACCAAUCAUCAUUAACCAUCUCCCCCUUUUUGUCAUCACAAAAGGGCAACCAAUCACAUCAACAUCAACAUCCCUUUUUGUCAUCCACACAGUCACAAAUUUACACAAGUUCACAAAUCAACAUCCUGGUGACACCAUCCAACACAUCCAUCAAAACAGUACUUAAAAUAGACAAUCAUAUUCAAUACAAAUUCAUUACAUUCACACAAGCAGAAUAGACAAUCAUUCAUCAAAAUAUUUAGACAUCAUCAAAACAGUACUUAAACAUCCACCAGAUCAUACCAAAAGAAACUUAAAAUAUCCAUUACAAUACAUAUUCAUUGUUGAAUACCACAAACACAUAAAAGAGACAAACAGAAUGCAAAUGUCCUAAAUGAUGAACUAAGUGGAUCCAGGAGUCCUCCGAGAGAGCUGAUAUUGAGAGAGGUCUUCCUCAUCAGUUUCUUCAUCAUCUUCAGCAGCUUCUUCAAUUGGUGCCUUGCCUUUGUCUGAUGUGGAAGGGCCAUGAGGAGUCACAGGAGUUGAUGGAUUCGGAUCUGGAUCAGUGGUUCGAGGUUCUUUGUCAUGUGAGACUUCCUCAACCACAGGUGGAGGAAAAAGAAGGUUCUUUUUAUCAAGAAAGGCAGUUGUUGCUCAGAAGACAUGGUGAGCAUUAGGCCAUGUUCUAGAAGAAGAACAUGCUGUUUGAGUUCAUGAAGAAGCUCAAUUACUCAUUACUGGAAGAGGAAGAUGCUUUAGUGGUAGACUUCCUAGGGUGAAUGGGAGUGAGUGAAAUGGGUGAAGAUCAUGUACAGUCUUAGAUCUGUUCACUAGAUGAUGCCCCCUUAUAUGCCCACAGAUUAUCUUUAAAAAUAAGAUUUUUCCUUUCAAAAUAUGCUCUGGUAAAAGCAUAAGAAGAUGCUUCUUUGGGACAAACACCUAGAAUUGGAACUUUGUAAAAUUCAAAAAUCUUUUGAAGAAACUUCCAUAGGAUAGUUUUCUUCGAGAGUCAGUAGCAUAGCGAAGUAAAAACUUGCACAUGACAAAGCCAAAAUCAAUCCGAAUUUUUUCUCGAAAACAAUAAAAAAGAUACAGCUCCAUUUUGUUUGCAUCAGUUCUAUGGCCAUCAGUGGGCACAAGCAAGUUUGAAAUGAUAGAAAAGGCAAUCAAAUUCACAGGAGCCAGAUCAUUCAACUUAGCAUCAGCAGGUGAAGAAAAACUUCUUUUGAAAUAAGUUAACAUUUUUGUCCCAUCAAAAUGAUUUGCAGCAGUAGGAAGCUCUUCAUAAGAAAAGAAAUUAGCAACCUUAUCUUUGCACAAACGUUCAAUGGUAGUCUUUAAAAUGGAAUUCACAGUAUCAGAAUCAAAGAUUAGGUCUACCCCAUUUACCCUAGACAUGAUCUCAGUUUGGUCAGUUCCUUUCCUAAGGUUAGCAAAAAAUUGAUGCAGCAUAUCAGGAUAGUAGACAUUGGGCAUGGAAAUGAGAUGCGACCAUUUCUGGAAAUCAAAUAGACUUAGAAUGGAUUCUAAACCUAUGGAACGAAAUUCAGAGGGGUUUACAGUUCUUUGAGGGAUGACACCCUUCUGAGAUAUCCAGGCGUAUUUGUCUUUCGCAGCAUCAUCAAAGAAUGGAGGGAGAGGGACUGAUUUAGGAGGCGGUUGAGAAGAGGUCCCCUGUCCAGAUUCUGGUUGAGAAGUGGGUUGUGGAGUAGGCCGUGACAUUUGACCCUUGAUAGCUCCCCUUUUGAAGCGUUUGGAUGUCCGUUUGACAGUAGGAAGAUCCUCAUCCUCAUCCCUGAGUGGAUGCUUGCGUCCGGCAGUAACUUUUCCUCCCCUUAGAUUCACCAUUGUUCUAAAUGUGUGGAAUGGAGGAUGCAAAUGAUGCACACAGCAGUAGGGAAGUGAAUCGCACAGAAAUUUUGGACAAAAAACCUUGAACGAGAUUUGACAGAGCGGUUAUGCAAGAGUAGGGUUUGAGGAAAAUUUGGGAUUGCGAAAUGUUAUGUUUGGUGAAAUGAUCAGGAGAAAUGAAACGCAAACGAUGGAAAUGUUUUGGUUGAGUCAAUUUGGGAAUGGUAGCAGAAAUGGUACGAAUUUGAGAGUGAGAGAGAGAGUUUUCGUCCGAGAGGAAAUAGAAUAGGAAGAGUGAAGCAAAUGAGGAAGAAAGUUGUUUUAAAAAAUGAGCCGUUGCACUGUCGGACGGCCGAACGAAGUUGUGCGUCCGACAGCUGCGUCCGAACAGGCGCAAUCUGGAAAAUGGCUGAAGAACAUCAUCGGACGUCCGUUCAUCUUCUUUCGGACGUCCGAAGACCCAAAAAAAUUAAGAUGAUUUUUCGAUUAUUCCUAAUUUUGAUCUUAGAUGAAUGAACUGAUCUAAUGGCAAAGCUUUUGUAAAAAUAUCAGCAAAUUGAUCUUUAGAACAAACAUAAUUUACACAUAUUUCACCUUUUUGAACAAGAUCACGAAUAAAGUGAUGCUUUAUAUCUAUGUGCUUUGUCCUAGAAUGAUGAAUAGGAUUUUUGGUCAAAUUUAUAGCACUAGUAUUAUCACAGAAUACAGGCAUGCAGUCAUACAACAAUCCAAAAUCAUUCAAAGUGUGCUUCAUCCAUAAAAGUUGAGCACAACAUGCACUAGCGGCAAUAUAUUCCGCUUCGGUUGUAGACAAAGAGAUUGCACAUUGUUUCUUGCUAAACCAAGAGACUAAACAAUUUCCAAGAAAAUGACAAGUUCCACUAGUACUCUUUCUAUCCACACGACAACCUCCAAAAUCAGCAUCCGAAUAACCAUAUAGUGCAAACUCAUUAGAUCUAGCAUACCAAAGACCAUAGUCUAAUGUACCUUUCAAAUACCUAAAAAUUCUUUUUACAGCAUUCAAAUGUGAUUCUUUUGGACAAGAUUGAAAUCUAGCACACAAGCAAACAGCAAACAUAAUAUCAGGUCUACUUGCGGUUAAAUAGAGUAGGCUUCCGAUCAUACCUCUAUAAUGCUUUUCAUCCACAUGAUUACCUUCUUCAUCUUUGUCAAGCUUUGUAGAAGUGCACAUUGGAGUUCCAACUUGUUUGAGUCCUCCAUGCCAAACCUUUUCAGCAAUUCCUUGGUAUAUUUUGCUUGAUUUAUAAAAAUUCCCUCAAGAGCUUGAUGUAUUUGAAGUCCAAGGAAGAAAUUUAAUUCUCCCAUCAUACUCAUUUCAAAUUCAUUUUGCAUAGUGGUGGAAAACUCCUUACAUAGAUACUCAUUAGUAGCACCAAAAUAAUAUCAUCAACAUAUAUUUGCACAAUGAGAAGGUCAUUCAACACAUGCUUAGUAAAAAGUGUGGUGUCCACAAUACCUCUUUUGAAACCUUUUUCAAUCAAGAACCCACUUAAUCUUUCAUACCAAGCUCUUGGAGCCUGUUUUAAACCAUAUAAAGCUUUAGAAAGUUUAAACACAUGACUUGGAAAUUUUGUAUUUUCAAAACCGGGGGUUGAUCCACAUACACUUCUUGAUCAAUAAAACCAUUUAAAAAGGCACUUUUAACAUCCAUUUGAAACAAUUUGAAACCUUUGAAGCAAGCAAAAGCAAGAAGCAUUCUAAUAGAUUCUAAUCUUGCUACGGGAGCAAAUGUUUCAUCAAAAUCAAUUCCUUCUUCUUGUGCAUAUCCUUUAGCAACUAAUCUGGCUUUAUUUCUUACAACAACACCUUUAUCAUCCAACUUAUUUCUAAAAAUCCACUUUGUGCCAAUGAUAGGUUGAUUUUGAGGUCUAUCAACAAGUGUCCAAACUUCAUUUCUCUCAAAUUGAUUAAGUUCCUCUUGCAUAGCCAAAAUCCAGUUUUCAUCCUUUAAAGCAUCAUUGAUAUUUUUGGGUUCAAAAAGAGAAACUAAAGCAAAAUUGUCAAUCAAUUUUCUAGAUGAGGAACGAGUGUUUACCUUCUCGGAUGGAUCACCAAUUAUAAGCUCUUUUGGAUGAUUUUGGCUGAAUUUCCAAGCCUUGGGAAGAUCUUUGAGUGGAUCAUCAUUUUUGUCUUCAUCUUCCUCUUCUUGAUCAUUAUGAACUUCAUUUUCCAUUUCAGUUGCUGCUGGUUUAGAACUUCCUUCAUUUCCAAUUGAUAGCUUUUCCAUUCCUUCUCGAACACCUACAUCAUCAUCCUCACAAACUUUUGGAAUUAUCAUCAUUGGUUUCAUCAAAUGUUAUAUGUAUAGCUUCUUCAAUCACAAGAGUCCUUCUAUUAAAAACUCUAUAUCCUCUUUUAUUCUCACAAUACCCCAAAAAUAUUCCUUCAUCAGAUUUUUUAUCAAACUUACCAAGAUGUUCCUUUAGAUUCAAAAUAAAGCAUUUACAACCAAAUACUUUGAAAUAACCAACCGUAGGUUUCUUAUCAAAAAUCAGCUCAUAAGGAGUUUUCUUUAAAAUAGGUCUCAAGAGUAUUCUAUUCAUCACAUAACAUGCAGUGUUUACCGCUUCAGCCCAAAGAUAUUUAGGCAACCUACAUUCAUUCAACAUAGUUCUAGCAGCCUCUUGGAGAGUCCUGUUUUUCCUUUCUACAACACCAUUUUGCUGUGGAGUCCUUGCAAUAGAAAACUCAUGUGUUAUACCAUUAUGAUCACAAAAUUCUGGAAAACCACAAUACUUGAAUUCGUCCCAUUAUCACUUCUAAUCCUAACAAUUUUUAACCCAAGCAGAUUUUGCACUUUAGCAAACAAUGAAGUAAAAUUCUUGAAGGCAUCAUCUUUAUGAGCAAGAAAUAUCACCCAAGUGUAUCUAGAAUAAUCAUCACAAUACAAAACAGUAUUUCUUACCUCCCAAGCUAGAUUUGAGUAGGACCAAAUAAGUCAAGAUGCAAGAGUUCUAAAGGUUUUGAAGUAGAUACACACUUCUUUGGUUUAAAAGAAACUUUUGUUUGCUUCCAAAUUGACAUGCAUCACAUAUUUUAUCCUUUCAAAACUGAUUUUUGGCAAGCCUCUAACAACUCCUUUUUCGAAAUUUCCUUUAGUAAAUCCAUGUUAAAAUGACAAAGUCUUCUAUGCCACAACCAAGGAUCUUCAUUUGAAGCUUUAAGACAUUUUAAGCUAGAAGAAUCAACUUUAUCAAGAAUCACAAUAUAUAUGUCAUUAAACCUCUUACCUUUGAACACAACAUUAUAUUUGGAAUCAAGUACAAUGCAUUCAUGCUUUUUAAACAACACAUACAAGUCUUUAUCACACAAUUGACUAACACUAAGCAAGUUAUAACCUAAGUUAUCAACUAAGAGCACAUUAUGAACAAAAGUUUCACCAUCCUUACCAACAUCACCUAUUCCAAUUGUCUUAGCUUUCACAUCAUCACCAAAUGUCACCUUUCCACUUGAUUUUGAUUUCAGCUUUAUGAACAAAGAAGGAUCACCGGUCAUGUGCCUUGAGCAGCCGCUAUCAAUGAACCAUUUGGACUUGUUUGAUCCUUUUUCCUGAAAAGAUAAAGUGUUUGGUACCCUUUUUAAUUUUUGGGUCCAUAAUAGUUAGCAUUGUAUCUAACUAACCACAUGCAUUCAUCCCUUUGUUCAGAUUUCUUUUCACAUAGCAAUCUCUCAAAUGCCCUCUUUGACAACAAAAACUACACAUAAUGGAAGAGUCCUUAACAUGUACUGGUUUGAUAUAUCUAAUCCACCUCUUCUAUAUGUUGUGAACCAUGUGCAAUUUUGUUGUGUGCAAAUGUUCUUUGAAAAGUAGUAGGAUGGUAGAUGACAUGUUCCUUUUGAAAACUCCUGCUUUCUUGCUUUCAAAGUCUCAUCCAAUUUAUCCAUUCUUUUUUCAAAUCACCAUGUCUUUCCUUCAGCAUUUCACAAAUAUUUGUCUUUCUAUCAAGCUCAUUUUGAACAUUACAUCCGGCUCUUACAAGACUUUCAUUGUCAGUCUUUAGUUGUUUAUUUUGUUGAAAAAGACUUGCAUUUUCUUGAAUGAGAAAAGCCAUUUUCUGUUUUAACUGCUUGUUUUUAUCAUAGAUUCCUUCAAGGCAUUAUGCAGUUUUUCAACAAAGAUUCAAGAUCAUCAUCUUCAUCAUCAUCACUUUCAGAUUGAGAGUGUGUGGAAGUUACCUCAUUAUUUCCAAUAGCCAUGAAGGCCAUUUGAGCUGAUUCUUCUUCUUCUUCAACUUCCCCUUCGGAGUUGCAUUCAUUCCAAGUAAUCUGAAAGUUGUUGAAUCUUGGCUUUCGAUCAGCUUUUCCAUCUUUCAUCUUCUUCAUGGGGCAUUCGUUUGCAUAGUGUCCAAUCUGUCCACAUUCGAAGCAUUUGUCCAACUGUUUCUUGUUGAAAUCUUGUUUUCCUUUGUACUUUGCGAUAGAUGGCUGAUUCUGGAAUUGAUUGCUAGGUCCUCCCCUUCUAAACUUUCUUUUAUUCAAGAUUCUUUGAAGCCUCUGGUGAUGAGAGCAAGAUCAUUAUCAUCACCAUCCGAGUCUUCAUCAUCCAGUGAGCUGUAUCAUCUUCACCUUGAGUAGUCUUUAGAGCAAUGUUUCUCUUUGCUCUAGCAUCCUCUUCCUCCUGCACUUUAGAUUUCAGUUUCAACUCAUAAGAGGUUAGUGAGUUAAUGAUAGAUUCCAUAGGCACAGAACUUAAAUCCUUAGCCUCCUCUAUUGCAGUCACUUUAUUUUCCCAUUCUUUGCCCAAAGCAUUGAGAAUUUUCCUGUUCUUCUCUCCAAGGUGUACUCUUUGCCCAACGCUUCGAGAUCUUUGAUCAAGUCAGUGAACCUGCAAUACAUUUUGUCAAUAUCCUCAAGAGGUUCAAUUUUAAAUGAUUCAUAUUUUGUGACCAAGAUAGCCUUUUUCUGUUCCUUCACGUUGUCACCACCCUCAUGGAUUUCUCUUAGUUUAUCCCACAUUUCUUUGGCCGAUUUGCAGCCUUUUACUCUAAUUGAUUCAUUUGAAUCUAGGGCACUAUAAAGAACAUUCAUGGCCUUGGCAUUCAAUGUGAGAUUAGUUCUAUCUUGAGCAUUCAUUUCAGCUCUCAUUUUUGGCCGAAGCACCCCUGUAUCUGCAUCAAGAAAGUUAGCUUCAUGCGGUCCUUCACUCACAAUAAAUCAUAGUUCAAUAUCAAUAGAUUGUAAAAAGAUAAUCAUCCGUUCUUUCCAGCUAACAUAGUUAGAGCCACUGAACAUGGGAGGCCUAGUAACAGAUUGCCCCUCAACAAACAUAGCAUGACUGGUUGUCAUCUUUACUCCAAGCCGUUAGAGCUUAAUCUCAAGGAGACCAAGCUCUGAUACCAAUUGUAAGUCCCACAGACAACCAAGAGGGGGGGUGAAUUGGGUUGAUUAAAAUCUUAACCAAAUUUAUACACUUUUUUUCAAUAAAAAUUUACCUUCUUUUCUAGUGAUGAUCAACCAAGUAGAUUAGAAGACAAGAGCAAUAUUGAUCAGAAACACAAGUAUAGCCAAGUAAUGAGAAUUGUAUUAAACUGAAAAGUAAAUUAGGGAAUCAAACCAAGUGUCUACCAAGCUAUCCUCAAACUUGAAGACCAAACACAAGGCAGAGCAACUUCUCUUUGAUGAAAGUCGAUCAACUAGAUGUACAAUGGAGGGAGCACUUCCUCCUUGCCCUAAGCCUCACUUAGUCAAGCCAAAAAGUUUUACAAUCACUCAGAAAACCCUCAACAAAGCUACACUAAAGAUCCUUUCAACCACAAAAGAAAUGCUCACCAGAAAUUCACACCACUUUAAAACAAAUCUAACUUUGGAGACUAUUUUCUAGCUAAAAUAUCUCUUGAGAUCUUGUAAACAAAGUGUGCAAAAAUCCCUACUUCGUUCAGACCAGUUUGAUUUUAAAGGGAACCAGAAAUGGGCUUCAUCAAUGCUUCCAACGGAUAGAAGGCAGUUGAAGAGUCAACUAGCCGUUGGUGCUGUCGGACGUCCGACGAUCAAAUCAUCGUCCGAACCAAUCGUCCGAAAAACAGCAAGUUUGACGUUCGGACGUCCGACGAGUGUUUAUCGUCCGAUAGUACAGCGUCCGAGCUUAGGCCGAGAGUUGGCAAGUUAAUUUGGAAUUUCUCGGACGUCCGAUGCGGUUGAUGUGCGUCCGAGGUGUGCGUCCGAACCUUCCGGACGUCCGAUGGCUCUUUAUGAGCGUCCGACAUAGCUUCCUUCUUGAUGUUCUUACUUCUUUCGGACGUCCGACAGUUUCCUUUCGGCCGUCCGACCUGUUUGUCCUGUUUUUGCUUCUCCUUUUGAUUGUUUUGCAUUUCAUGACACAUUCGAACCUGAUUCUAAACACAAACACUCAUAUUUGAAGAAAGUUAGAUGAACAUUUCAAAGUACCAAGAAUAACACACUUGACAUACUAACAAGACAGUAUCUUUGAUUGGAACAAAACAAUGACUAAAUUCAUUCAUAUUAUUUCAAUCUUGUUUGCCACAUCCAAAGCAUCGUAGACUGAAGUCAAUUAAACAUAUGCUUUCUUUGUUUCAUCAGGCCUGAUCAAAGUGUUCACUUUCUUGGUCUGUAUAAACAAACUUUUGUGAUCAUCAAAACCAAGAAUAACAAGUUUCGUGUCCGUUUUCUCUCGGAUUCGUUUCACUUGUACACUAAACCUAUAAUGUACUUCCUUUAACAUUAUAAUUAUUCACUCUUAGUACUCUAGAAUAAAUUUCUUAAAUCUCCCUUGGGUCGAUUUGACACGAAAAACGUGAACUUCCAAUUCGCGCGCGAUAAAGCGAAAGUUAAAAGAAAUUCUUGUAACGAUAAUAUAAAUAACUAAUACUAGGGUAAAUAAUCAUAAAAAUAACUAUUUUAAGACUAAUGCAUGAGUUCUCAAAUCUCCAAGGUCACUGCACUCUCAGAUCAAAUACUACCUCGAAAAACGUGUAUUUGCUAUUUCUUACUAAGCGAGCUUCCAAAAAUUAAAUUUGCUAACGGAACGUUUUAAAAAUAUAUGUAAGGCAUAGUUCCAUGUAAAUGGAUUUAAAAUGGUUGAAAUAAAUUAUUCGGCGAAAACGGGUGAAUAAAUAUUUAAAUAAGCCAAUAAUAUGAGAUAAAAUAAGAAAAUUUUUGGGUCCUCACAUAUUUGACAACAAAAACUGCACAUAGUCAAAGAGUUACUUGUAUGGACAGGUUUAACAAAUCUUACUUGUCUUCUUUUAUAAAUGGUAAACUCAUUUGAAUUAGAAUUUAACUUCUUCUCAUGAAUGCCUCGAUAAGGUUUUGGUUCAUUCCUUUGAAAACAGUUUUGUUUCUUGUGUUGGAGCGCAACUCAUUAAGAUUAUCCAUUCUUCUUUUGAAAUCCCUUGUUCCUUUUUUAGCAUCUCACAAAACUUUAUUUUUCUAUCAACUUAACAUGUAAAUCAGUUUCAAACCUUUUCAAAUUGUCAUUUUCAUCUUUCAGAUUCUUGUUUUGUCGAAAAAGGUUUGCAUUGUCUUGAAUCAGAAAAUUGAUCUUUUGUUUUAGUUCCUUGUUUCUAAUAUAGGAUUCUUUCAAACUAUUAUGCAGUCUCUCAAUGAAGGAAUUAACAUCAUCAUCAGAUUCAUUAUCACUAUUAAGUUGAGAGUUGCAAGUAGUUACCUAAUCAUCACCAAUGGCCAUGAAAGCUAUUUGAGCAGAUUCUUCUUUCUCUUCAACGUCACCAUCUGAGUUGCAAUCAUUCUAAGUGAUUUGGAAGUUAUUGAAUUUUGGUUUUCGUUUAGCCUUUCCAUCUUUCUUUUUUUUCAUUGGACACUCACUCAUAUAGUGUUCAAGUUGGUCGCACUCAAAGCACUUGUCAACUUGCUUUUUAUUGACUUCUUGCUUUCCUUUUUUUUGCAUUGUUGAACUGAUUUGAAAAUGUAUUGUUAGGUCCGCCUUUUCUGAAUCUCCUUUUGUUGAGAAUUCUCUUGAAACUCCUUGUGAUGAGAGUAAGAUCAUUGUCAUCGACUUCCGCAUCUUUUCCAUCCAAGGAAGCCGAGUCAUCUUUAUCUUGUGAUGCUUUUAACGCAAUGCUCCUUCUCACUUUUGCAUCCUCUUUCUCUUAUACCUUUGUUUUAAGUUUCAGCUCAUAAGAGGUUAGAGAAUUAAUAAGAGAUUCAAUGGCAUAGAGUUCAAGUCUUUAGUCUCUUCAAUGGCAGCCAUCUUACUCUCCCUAUCCUUGGACAAGGCAUUCAAGAUUUUUCUGUUUUUCUCUCCUAAGGAGUAUUCCUUUUCUAGCACUUCUAAGUUCUUAAUGAAAUCAUUGAAUCUACAAUACAUUUUGUCAAUAUUUUCAUAAGCUUCCAUCUUGAAUGAUUCAUAUUUGGUGACUAAGAUAGAUUUCUUUUGUUUCUUACAUUCUCACUUCCUUCAUGGAUUUCUCUCAGUUUGUCCCAAAUCUCUUUAGCAGACCUAUAGCCUUUGACUCUAAUGGAUUCAUUUGAGUCUAAAACACUAUACAACACAUUCAUAGCCUUGACAUUCAAAGUAAGGUGGGUUCUAUCUUCACCAGUCAAUUUAUUUUUGAUUUUUGGUUUUGGUCUAUAUGUAACUUCAUCUAUAACAGUGGCAUCAAAUGGGCCUUCAUUAACAAUAAACCACAGUUCAAUAUCAAUAGAUUGCAAGAAAAUAAUCAUUCUUUCCUUCCAACUCACACAAUUGGAUCCAUUAAACAUUGGGGGUCUAGUGACAGAUUGUCCUUCAAAAAAUAUGACAUUGUUGGUUGUCAUUUUACACUAAAGCCGUUUGAACUUAAUCUUUAGGAGACCAAACUCUGAUACCAAUUGUAAGGAUCGAAAACAAUUUAAGAGGGGGGUGAAUUAGAUAAAUUAAAAAUCAAUCAGGUUAUGAGACACUUUUUGGCUCAAUAUGAAAUUUACCCUCUUUUCUAGAUGACCACUCAAUGAAACAGUUAAUUAGAAAGCAAGAUUGCUUGUGAGUAGAAGAGAUGAAAUUUAUGUUUGCAAGAUAGUAAGUAAAAGGGAAGAAAUAGCAAACCAAAUUAUAAACUCCUCUUGAGGUUGAAUAUUACUUUAUAGAACAAGUUUUCUUCAAGUUAAUCAAAUAUAACCAUUCUUUAUGUACAAAAAAGGAUCACUUCCUCCUUGUCCCAAGGAACACUUGGUCAAGUUAGAAAGUUUUACAAUCACUCGAAUAACGCUCACAAAGCUACACUAUUGAAGUAUUUUUCUCACACAAGAAAAGCUUAUACAAGAUUCACACACUAAGAGUACAAAUCUUCUUUAUAGAGUAUUUUCUCACUAAAAUCACUCUUGAUCUUUUGUAGUCUCAAUGUGCAAAAAUUCUUUAGAAGUGGUUGACCAUGUUCUAUUUAUAUGAGACCAAAAAGUUCCUCUAUUAAUACUUCCAACGGAUAGAAGACAUGUGAAGAGUCAAUUAGCCGUUGGUAGUGUCGGACGUCCGGUAGUCCUGUUUCUUGCGUCCGACAGCAUGUAGUGAGUUUAAGAGAUUUUCUUCAAUUCUUUCAGAUGUCUGGUACCUUCAAUGUUUGUGUCCGAAAGUAGAUAGUGAAAUUGAGAAAUCUUCUUCAAUCCUUUCGGACGUCCGAUACAUCCAAUGCUUUGCGUCCAAAGUGCUGCAUUGUUUAUCGGACGUCCGGUGCUCUAAUGUUUUGCGUCCGAUCGAGGUUAGUGAGUUUAAAAGAAAUGUUUUAAUUCCUUCGGACGUUCGGUGGUGGAGCUCAUCAUGCAUCCGAAGUUGCGCAAUGAUUAUUAGACGUCCGAUCCUGACUUCACAAGCGUCCAACAGCUUUCAGCAAUCUUUGUUUCUUUCAAUUGCACUUGAACUUGGAAAUUGAUUUGCUUCAUAGCUGAAGUAUAUCUUGAAGAGAUAUUAAUAGCAUCCAUUUUGUUUUGUAAAUAUCAAAAGCUAGGGACUAAGAUUAACACGUAACAGAGGGAGGUAAAGGGAAUGCUGGUCCUAAUGAAUCUGAUCUUGAGACUGAUGAAAGGCAACCUGCCCCUGAGGGAGAAGUAGAAUAGUUGGUUCGGUAAUGAACUCAGUUAGAGACUUGAGGUUGUAGGACAUGAGUUUAGGUAGUUGGAUGACACACCAUUUUCUGUUUUGCCACUGCAUGUAUUUUAUUAGUGACGUGUUAAGGGUGAUGUGUAUAGUACUUGUUAUUGCCUUUUAUACUUGACUUUGAAUAUGGUGAUAUGUUAGUAUUGCUAUAAUUUGAUAUAUGAACUUGGUGUGUUAUAUAUAUAUAUUAAGUGUAUUUCCUUGUCUUUGACUUCAUGAUUUGAAAAUGCCUUUGUUUUAUUGCUAUAGCCGAUUUAGUUUUGCUCAUAUAGACUUUUUUUUUCUAAAAAAAAAGAGAGAGAAGGGAGGGAUGACAAAGUCGUGGACUUGAGAUUAGUCGUGGCCGUAGGGUUGGGUAAUUGUACGAACCAAGGAAUGAAAGAGAACUAGCGGCCGAGCAAGAUCGUGGACCAAUGGUCGAAGCAAGGAACCAAAUAGCGACAGCUAUACAACAAAUGACCAUUAUCUUAGCACAAUUGGUAAAGCAAUAAGGUCAAGCCCCAGUGAAUUUUCAAAAGUUUACUCCUCCUAAGUUCUUCGGAGGGUCUGAUCCAGAGAUAGUUGAGAGUAGGUUGGAGACAGCAGUUAAAAUUUUUGUAGUCUUAAAUUAUACGGAGGAAAGGCAAGUGACUUUUGCCAUCUUUGAAUUUGAAGGACCGGAUCGAGUGUUGUGGAAUGUUUAUCAGGGCAAAGUGGGAGAGAGAACAGACUACAUGAACUUGGAUAAAUUUUGUAAGAGAGUUUAAUGAGAAAUACCUCCCACCUCUGGUCCAAGAGAAGAGAGAGGAUGAUUUUAUCAAGCUAUGAUAGGGAACUCUAAGCGUGUCUGAAUAUGAAACACAAUUCAAUAAAUUGUCCAAAUUUGCUCCUGAACUAAUGGUUAUAGAGCAGAGGAGAGUGAAACGGUUUGUACAGGGACUGAACAUGGAAAUCCAAGAAACUUUAGCGACAGCUCAAGUUAAUAUCUUUAUGGAAGCUCUUGAGAAAACCCAAAUGAUCGAGAACACGAAAGUACAGGUAAGAGCUUCCAAGCACGAAAAUGAGCGCACCUAGUAGUAAACUUAUAGAGCGCACCUAGUAGUAAACUUAUAGAAUCUAGAAAAAACGUAUCGCCUCUCAAAAUAAGAAGAGUAAACCUUCUGCCUUACCCACAUGGACACUAGGGUAAUUAGAAGGACCUUCUUCAAGAGAAGUUCAGGUAGGAAAAGGACAACAAGAAAGAAUCCCUCGAGAAGGCCAAAUAGUGGCUCCUAGUUUUUCUUGUGGAUACUGUGGGAAGACAAAUCACACUAAAAAUGAAUGCUGGGUAAAGGGGUGAAGGUGCUUGGUUUAUGGGAGUGCUAACCAUCAAAUUAACAACUACCCGGGAAAGCAACAAAGAGGGUCGAACGUACAGCAAGUGGAUAGGACUAUUCCGAGACAGAUCCAGGAAGGAGGAAACUGACCCAGGGUACCAGCGACGGUAUACGCUAUCGAUCAACAACCAAUUCCAAAAUCUUGUGAAGGUUAAAAUUUUUUUAAGGUGCAGAGAGUGUUAGAGUGUGAGGAUGAAAUUUUUUUAAGGAUGAAAGAGUGUGAGGACCCGAAAAUUCUUUUAUAUUUUCUCUACUUUUUGAAAAAAAAAGUUGAGUUACAUUUUUCUUUUAUU